UUGUUCUUAAGUGCUUUAAGAGUGUUCAUAUCUCAAAAGUAUUGUACUGGACUUAGGUGAUUUUUUAAAAAAUUUCAUCUUGGUAAAAUAUAUAAAACCAAACCAAACCUACUGCCAUCGAGUCAGUUCUGACUCAUAGCGACCCUGUUAUACUAUAUGUAUAAAAUUAACCAUUUUAACCAUUUUUAAGUGUACAGUUCAGUGACAUUAUUUACAUUCACAAUAUUGUGCAAUCAUUUCCAUGAUCUGUUUCUGAAAUGUUUUCAUCACCCCAAACAGAAAGUCAGUACCCAUUAAGUAAUAACUCUCUAUUCCUCCUCGCUCCCAGCCCCUGGUAAUCACUAAUACUUUAGUCUCUAUGCAUUUGCCUAUUCUAGAUAUUUUACAUAAGUGGAAUCAUCCUUUUGUGUCUGACUUAUUUCACUUAGCAUAAUAUUUUUAGGGUUCACCCAUGUUGUAGCAACUAUUAGAACUUCACUUGGCUUUGUGGUUGAAUAAUAUCCCAUUGUAUGUAUAUACCACAUUAUGGUUACCAUAUUUUUACAUAAAUAACAUGUCUUCUACAUUUGUUUGCCAACCGCACCCUCCUCCUACAAGGUAUUUUCGUAAGUGCCGCUAUGCCAAUUUUUUCUUACGUUUGCUAUAAAAAAAUUAGCAUAACGUACUUAGAAAAAUACCUUGCAGCGGGAGGGCACGAUUGGCAAACAAACAUAGAAGGACAUGUUUUUUGCAUAAAAAUACAGUAUUUAUUCAUCUGUUAAUGGACACUUGGAUAGUUUCUACUUUUUGGCUAUUGUGAAUAAUGCUGCAGAGAACAUUGGUGUGCAAGUAUCUUUUUGAGUCCCUGCUUUCAGUAUUUUGGGGUAUAUACCCAGGAGUGGAAUUGUUGUAUUUUAUGGCAAUUCUAUGUUUACCUUUUUGAGAAACCACUGUCCACAGAGGCUGCACCAUUUUACAUUCCCAUCAGCAAUGAAUGAGGGUUCCAAUUUAUCCACAUCCUUGCUAGCACUUGUUAUUUUUCAUUUAUUUGAUAUUAGCUAUUCUAGUGGGCACUGGGUUCCUGGGUAGUGGGUGUGAAGUGUUAUCUUAGUAUGGUUUUAAUUUGCAUUCCUUCUAACGGCUAAUGAUGUUGAGCGUCUUUUCAUUUGCUUGUUGGCCAUUUGUAUGUCAUGUUUGGAGAAAUGUCUUUUCAAGUCCUUUGCUCCUUUUUUUAUUGGGUUGUCUUUUUGUUGUUGCAUUGUUAAGAGUUCUUUAUAUAUUCUGGGUACUGUAUCCUUAGAUAUGUGAUUUACAAAUAUUUUCUCCCAUUCUGUGGGUUGUUAUUUCACAUUUUUGAUAAGGUCCUUUGAGGCACAGAGUUUUUAAUUUUUAUAAAGUCUAAUUUAUCUAUUUUUUCUUUUAUUGCUCAUACUUUUGGUGUCAAAUGUAAGAAGGCAUUGUCAAAUCCAAAGUCAUGAAGAUUUAUCCCUAUAAUUUAUUCUAAGAGUCUUAUGAUUUUAGUUCCUACUUUUAGGUCAUUGAUCCCAUUUUGAAUUUUUGUAUAUAGUGUGAGGUAGGGGUCCAACUUCAUUCUUUUACAGGUGGAAAUCCAGUUGUUCCAGCACCAUUUGUUAGACUAUUCUUUCCCCAUUUUCACCCUUGUUGAAAAUCAAUUGGUAAUAUGUUUUUGAUUAUAGUUUAAAUGAACAGUUUUAAAUCUGUGCACCAAGAAGCCCUAGAAUUCUGCAGAAAUGCUUCAGAAAUUGCUUUGGCAGUAGAGGGCUAGUUAGACCUUACUGCCAGAACAGCUCUGUAUUUAUCUAUUUUAUAUGUUACAUUUCAGGGCACAUUUUGUUUAACAUGUGUGUAUAGGUAGGGAGAGAGAAUUUCUAUUGCAAAAUAAAUAAAUGUUUGAAAAACACUUUUAAAGAGAAAAACUAAUUCUAGGAAGAAAUUAAUAGUAAUAUUCAGAAUAUAUAUAUAGUAAUGAUCUACUUAGAGUGAGUCACUAAAUAGAAAUAUUAUAAGUUAACUCAAAGAUUUUGGGUUGGGUGAGGCCUAAUUCUUACAGUACCAAACUCAAACAUUUUAACCAUUGUGUUGAUUUUCAUUCAUAUCAGCUUAAGAUUCUAGCAUUAGCUUCUUUGGAAUUAUCAUGUAAUUACCUGACUUUCCAAGUUAAUCAGCACUCUCUCCUUGUACCACAUGGAACAUUAAAAGCUAGUAGGUCCUCUACUACACCUGGACACUUUUGCUUCCCCGAGUAUAUGUUUAGCAAAACCUAGUUGUGUUUGUUCCAAAACCCAUUUGCAUAAUUAUUAAGUAAUAUAUUUAAAUACUGCAUAAGUUAUAAAUGCAGAAAGGAUUUUUGUUCUUAUGAGAGCUAAUUUUAAUAUAUUGGAAGGACUCUAAAGGACAGAUUUAAAAAAAAAAUUGCAAUUGAAUUAGAUUGAGCAAGAAAACCAUCAAGAGUGAGAAAAAAAAUUGUUAAAAUCUGGAAGGUAUUGUUUCUGUUCUUACUCUGCUUUAAAAGUCACUGACCCUGGAAAUCACAGACAUUGCAAUGUGGGUAUUGUUUAUGUAAGAAAGCCAGUAUAGAGGUCCAGUGAGUGGAACCCUACUCAGAAGGUCUUGGCCCUAUAUGAGAGAGAAUAUUUGCUUUAAGUUGGUAUCAGUGAAGUAUAUACUUUUUUAUGAGUCCUCAGUUUGACCUUCUUUUCUAUGAACCAACCUGUGCCUCCCUGAUUAGAAAGGUUUCUACUGUGAUUUAAAAGUGAAAAGCACUUUUCCUAUCAUGUGAACCUGCCAGCCUUUUUUUUUUUUAGAUACUUUUUUCCUGUGUCAUUAAUACGGCAUACAGUUUUAUAAAAUUUGUCCUAAACUAGGUUAAGAUUGUUUCCUUUCCUAUUCGCAUCUGAUAACCAUAAUUUUUUUUCUUUUAACCUACACUGGCACUUUAUAUGUGUUAUGUAAUCCUCACAAGAAGUAUAGAAAGUAGAUGAUAUUGUCCCUAUUUUCCAAAUGAAGAAAAUCAGUCUCUGAGUGUAUAUAGCAUGCUGCAAAGUCACACAGCUAGUAAUUAACACAACAGGGAUUCAAACCCAGGGCUGUGUGUAUCCAACUCCCGUGAAUGUUCUUUUCACUCUAUUGUGCUGCUUUCUAAAUCUUAGAAUGUAGUUACUGAAGUAUCAGAAAGACUUUCUAAAAUAGUUUCAAAUAAUGAAGCACCGUCUUACCAGGGACCCUGGAGCCAGUAUGGUAGUGAAGGUCUAUGGAAGUGUGUUAAACCAUGAGAGCCUGUUAUAAUGUCCUUGGUUAUGGAGUCCAUGGUGUGCUUGGAUGUUGUUACCACCUGUAGCUAAUGGCCACACUUUAUUUUGGAGUGGAUGUACCACCACAAAUGUGGUGAGACCUGUAGUCAGAGGAACUGGUUAAUGUCCAACAGUGAUUAGUACUUUAUAAUCAACAUGCCUUAUGCUAUUUGGAAAUGAUAUAUUUUUUAAAAGUUAAUUCUGCAAAUAAUGGAAAUUAGGCUCUUUAUACAUGUAAUAAUUUUUAAUUCUUUGAUUCUUUUUAUAAAAUGUGUCAUUGACUUUCUUUAAACCUUAUUAGACCUAAAGUAGUUUAACCUUUUUAAAUUUUGUGUGUGUGUGACCCAGGGUCAUAAUUACAAACAUUAAUUUCUGUAUCAUAAUACAAAUAAUAAAAUUAUUUGCUUCUUGGCAACAUAAUCCCCCCAGUUCUGUAAUUUCUGUGUUUUUAUGUUUCACCUUUGAGUAUCAGCUCUCCUUUUCUGCUGUUGUUCCAUGUCUGCUUCUUACAGCAUUCUCAGACCUCUUAAUUUUCCUCUUCUAAUAUUUUGAUGACUGGGAAAUUGGUCACCAAGUUUGUUGAGCAACUAGUGUUUGAGUAAGGGCCUCACAGUCUCUUUUCUAAGCACAUGUAUUGCAGUGCACGGACUUCACAUGUAUUUUUGACAGUUUCUGAACUCCUGCUUAAUUCUCAUUGUGUUUUGUGGAUACUUGAUGUCACCAGAUAACUAACUUCCUGAUAAGUGUACAUAACUAGGUGGGGUUUUGACUAUGUUGAGUGCCUGUUAAUUAAUACCCGUGAUAGAAAUAGUCACAUGUCAGAACUGUGUUGUUGGCUCAAUCCAAGUGCUGAGUGUGUUGGACAUGAGACGUUACCAUGGUUCAGACUUUAACACUGCCAGUAGGAACAGUAGCAAAAAAAUAAGCUGGGGUUAUUGAAUCUCAAAUACUAUUUGAGAUGGUGCCAAUAUGUACAGUGAAUUUGUGAGUAAAAUUCCUUAAGGAUUUUGUUAAGCCUAAAGAAUUGCUUUAUGACGUUGAUUAGAUUGGUUGGUUUGAAAUGUACCUGUAAUACAUUUUAUCACUCUCAAGAAAUAAGCUACUGAUCUUAUUAAUUUUAUUUUUAAAUAAACUGGACCAUGAUAUAAUUUUUCAGUGAGUCAGCAAGCAGUUAAUGAGCAGAUACUCUGUGCCACCUCUGUGUUUAAUGCUAGAGAUGUACAGAUUAAAAACAAUCCCUGCUUUCAGGGUUGAUGCAUCAGUCAGGGAGAUACAGAAGUAAAACAGUAAAUGUAAUACCAUGUAAGUACUGUUUACUGUAUCCUACAGUGAUGUAAAUGGUUAACUGCUUGACAACUGGCCAAAAGAUUGGUGGUUUGAACCCCCCAGAGGUACCUGGGAAGACAGGCCUGGCUUCCGAAAGCUCAUAGCUUUGAAAACCCUAUGGAGCAGUUCUACUCUGCACACAUGGGGUUGCCAUGAAUUGGAAUCAACCAACAACAACAGGAAUGGAGAAGAGGGGAUCAACGAUUUCAGCCUACUUGUGUCAGAGAAGGCUUCCCAGAGGAACUAGCAAUUUAAUGAGUUGUACAGGAUGGGUAGGAGAUACCAAGUGGAGAAAAUGCGAGUGUUUCCGGGUAAGGGAGCAGCACUUGCAGCGAUUUUAUGAGAGAGAUUCUGGCUCUUCUGAGAGACAGCUGGCUCUUCUGGGAACUCAAGUGGUGUAGUUGGCUUGAGGAUAGGAGAAGUGAUACAAGACUGGGGGAAUGGACAAGAGCCAUAUUUUCAAGGGACUUCUAUACCAUGCUAAAAAAAUUGGGAUUUUAUUCUGAGGGUGGUUAGGAGCCAUUAAAAUAUUGUAACAGGUAACAUGAGUCAGAUUUAUGUUUUGGUGAGAUCAUUCUGGCAGUGGUUUGGAUCAUAUAUUGGAGGAGUGAAGCUGGAGUUCAGGACUCCAGUACGGAAACUGCUGAAAAAAAGUGAUGAGAAUGUGAAUUAAGUCUGAGGCUGGAGAAAGGAGAGGGGAGGUAGAAUAGACAGGUCUUGGUGGUAGAAUAGACAUGGCUUUUGGAGGUGACUGAGUAAAUGUGGGUUGUGAGGCAGAGGGAAAAGUUUAGAAUGAUGUUUGAUUUCACACGUGGAUGACUAGGUAGAUAGUGGAUUGGGCUGUAUUAGGGAGGUAAAGAACAGAGAUAUACUACAUUGAUUCUUGGCUUGCUUUAAAAAUAAUUAAAACACUCAGAUUUCAAUCAGUUUGAUUCUUUCAUUCCUAUUCACAGUUGUAAUGCUUCUGGAUAGUACCAGUCAAGGAGUGUUCCUAUUUUUGCUGAAAUAUAAAAUUCCUGUGGUUAAACCAUACUUACCAUUUUGGUUAAAGAGCAAAAUUUUCCAAAUCUUUUCUUUUCAUUAAGUUAUAUUUUAACUUUAGUUUUUCAAAAGUUUUAAAAGUUUCUAUAAAGUCCUUCCAAUCUAGUUUUACAAGUAAGGUCCAUUUAUUUAUUGAUGUUUUAAUGAGGAUUGCAUCUUUAAAGCAUUGUUUCUACAGUGGCAUCUCUAUCACAACAGACAUGAUUGACAAUUCUGAAAAGCCAAGAGUUUCAAAACAAGCAUGAUUGGCAGCUCUAAGGACUGUAAAGGUCAAAAGUGAAUCUGGAAACUACUAUGUGGCUGCUUGUUAAGGAAUGCAAGCAAUUAAGUGCUCCUAGCAAAGCUUUGAAGUUAAUUUCCUGAUAGGAUGAAGAGGAGAAAAAGUCAAGGCUACACUCCUGCAAUUGGUUCAGACUGUAGUUAUAUUGACUUAAGAGUGGGUUUUAGAAAAAUUACAAGCUAUCUUAAUAGAAGGUCUGAGUUCUAUUUUAGUUUGUAGAAUUUUGUAUUAAUUUAGAUUGCCACUGAUAAAAAAAAAAAAUUUAGAGACUCUCAGGAACCUAGAAUUUUAGUACGCAUUUUGUAAUAAUUUUUAAGAACAAUAAUAGUUAACAUUUGUUGAGAACUUUCUCUAUGCUAGGUACUUUGUUAAGGAGAUUUACAUGCAUUAUUUUUUUCUAAUUUUUUGCUCUGAGGUAGACACUAUUAGACUCCUCAUUAAAAAACACUGAAGAAACUAAAACUAGCAGGAAUUUUAAGUAACUUACCUGUGAUCGACAGUUAGUAAGUAAGCAGACCUGUGGAAGUGUGGCUCUAAGCUCAUGUUACCCACCACUUUAUACUAUUCAGGUACAUCUGCUGGUUUUGCAUUGUGGGUCUGUGUGUUACUGUGUGUGUGUGGUUGGUGAUUUAUUAAUUUUCUCAGCAAAUAUUUAUUGAAUACCUUACUUAUAGAGGUACUGAAUACAGUUGAGAAGAACCAUAUGGUAUCUUUAGGAUGAAAGGUACACAGUACAGUAAUAGAGCUCUCGAUCAGGGCUUCAGUCAUCUGAAGGCUUGGCUGGGGUUGGAGGAUUCACUUCCAAGGUGGCUCACUCACCUGCCUGGCAAGUUAGUGCUGGUUGUUGGCCGAAGGCCUCAGUUCCUCAUCACAUGGACUUCCCCACUGAGCUGCUCGUUAUAUGGCAGUUAGCUUCCCCCAGAACAAGUGAUCUGAGAGAGAGAGAGCAAAGAGAAGUCGUGGUACCUUUUAUGACCUGGUCACACAUCGUCACAGCUACCAUAUUCUUUUCCUUAGGAGCUAGUCACUAAGCCCAGCACACACUCAAGCGAAGGGGGAUUAGACUCUACCCUUUAUAGAGAGAGGUGUCAAAAAAUUUGUGUAAAUAUUUCAAAACCACCACAGUGGCCAAGGGUCCGGUGGCUGUACAUUUAGGGAGUAGUGAAAUAAAUGCUUGCUUUGCUGGACAGGCAAGUAUCAUAGCAAAUUGUAAAUUUCAGACUGAGAAGUUAUAACAGUAGAGAGAGAAGUGGUAUUUUGGGAUUGGCAUUUUUGGACACUGCUAAUAGUAGUGAUGGUGCGAUGGAGUAUACACAGCAAGACCAGUUAUGGAACUAUUGCAGUAAUCCAGGCCAGAGUUGAUUAGGGCAGGACCAGAUGGGAAAGCAAAGCUAGAAAAAAUUGUUCAAAGAAAAGAAUGAUAGGAUUUGGUCACUGAUGCUUGAGGUUUCUAGUUUAGGUGACUAGAAGUUAGGCUGCAGAAUAACAGAGACCUGGGAAUUACAACUUCAUACAAAGUUUGUGUAUCUUCUGCCCUCAUCGGGAAAAAAACCAACCAAACACAAAGGCAGCAGCAUCAGUGUGGUUUUUUGUAUUUGUAUCACAUAAAGUGAGAGUGACUAAAUUGAAGAAAUACUAACAGUGUUCAUGUUCACGCGUCCUAUUAGAGCAGAAUAGUUGUAUUUCUAAUGUAAAAUGCCAGAUGGGAACCUUUUGGAGAAGUGUUAUAACCUUGCCAGGUAUAUUCACUAUAACCAGUUGUACUUGAGUCAGUUUCAACUCAUGGCAACCCUGUGUGUUGCAUUGUAAGAACUGUGUUCCAUUGAGUUUUCAUGGUUGUGAGUUUUUUCUUUUUCUAGUUGUGCUUCAGGUGAAAGUUUACAGCUCAUAUUAACUUCUCAUACAAAAAUGUAUAUAUACAUUGUUAUGUGACCCUAGUUGCCAUCCCUAUAAUGUGACCGACCGCACAUUCCUCCUUUCCACCCUGGAUUUCCCACGUCCAUUCAACUAGCUCCAAUCCCUGCCUUCUCAUUUCGCCUCCGGACAGGAACUGUCAAUUUAGUCUCGUGUGUCUACUUGAACUAAGAAGCACAGUCGUCACGAGUAUUAUCAUUUUAUGUCUUAUAUUCCAGUCUGUUGUCUGAAGAGUUGGGUUUCAGUUCUGAGUUAACAGACAGUCCGGAGGCCAUGUCUUCUGGAGUUCCUCCAGUCUCAGUCAGACCAUUAAGUCUGGUCUUUUUACAUGAAUUUGAGUUCUGCACCCCACUUGUCUCCUGCUCCAUCAGGGACUGUCGUGUUCCCUGUCAGGGUGGUCACUGGUGGUAGCCCAGCACCAUCUGGUUCUUCUGGUCUUAGGCUGAUGGAGGCUAUGGUUUAUGUGGCCUCUUUUGUCUCUUGGGCUAAUAUUUUCCUUGUAUCUUUAAAGUUCUCCAUUCUCCUUUGUCCAGGUGGGUUCAGACCAAUUGAUGCAUGUUAGAUGGCUGCUCGCUAGCUUUUAAGACCCCAGAUGCCACUCACUCAAGUGGGAUGCAGAGCCUUUUCUUAAUAAACUUUAUCAUGCCAGUUGACCUAGAUGUCCACUGAAACCAUGGUCCCCAGGCUCCCACCCCUGCUACACUGUCCUUCAAAGUGUUUGGUUGUGUUCAGGAAACUUCUUAGCUUUUGGUUUAGUCCAGUUGUGCUGACUUCCCCUGUAUUGUGUGUUGUCCUUCCCUUCACCUAAGAUAAUUCUUAUCUAGUUAGUGAAUUUCCCCCUUGCUCCCUCCCCACCCUCGUAAUUAUCAAAAAAUGUUUUCUUUUGUGUUGAAGCCUUUUCUUGAGCUCUUGUAACAGUGGCAUACAAUAUUCGUCCUUUUGUGACUAAUUUCGCUCAGCAUAAUGCCUUCCAGCUACAUCCAUGUUAUGAAAUGUUUCUCGGAUUCAUCGUUGUUCUUUAUUGUUGCAUAGUAUUCCAUUGUGUGAAAAUAUCAUAAAUUGUUUAUCCAUUCUUCCAUUGAUGUGCUCCUAGGUUGUUUCCAUCCUUUUGCUUUUGUGAACAGUGCUGCAGUGAACACAGGUGUGAAUGUAUCUAUUCGUGUGAGGGCUCUUAUUUCUCAAGGAUAUAUUCCAGGGAGUGGAUUGCUGGAUUAUAUGGUACUUCUAUUUCUAGCCUUUUAAGGAAGCACCAAAUCGAUUUCCAAAGUGGUUGUACCAUUUUACAGUCCCACCAGCAGUGUAUAAAUGUUCCAGUCUCUCCACAACCUCUCCAACAUUUAUUAUUUUAUGUUUUUUGGGUUACUGGUAGCCUUGUUGGGGUGAGAUAGUACCUCAUUGUAGUUUUGAUUUGUAUUUUUCUAAAGGCUAAUGAUCGUGAGCAUUUCCUCAUGUAUCUGUUAGCUGCCUGUGUGUCUUCUUAGGUGAAGCGCCUGUUCAUAUCCUUUGCCCAUUUUUUAAUUAUUUUGUCUUUUUGUGGUUGAAGUCUUGCUGUAUCUCGUAGAUUUUAGAGAUUAGACCCUGAUUGGAUAUGACAUAGCCAAUUUUUUUUUCCUAGUCUGUAGGUUGUCUUUUUAUUCUUUUGGUGAAGUCUUUGGGUGAGCUUAAGUGUUUGAUUUUUAGGAGCUCCUAGUUAUUCUUCUGCAGUGACUCCCAGUUAGGAGCUCCCAGUUUCUUUUCUGCUGUUUGUACAUUCUUAGCUAAGUUUUGUAUUCUCUUUAUGCCAAUGCUCCUAGCAUUGUACCUAUUUUUUCUUCCAUGGUCUUUAUCAUUUUAGAUUUUAUAUAUAGGUCUUUGAUCCAUUUUGAGUUAGUUUUUGUGCAUGGUGUGAGGUAUGGGUCUUGUUUCAUUUUUUUGCAGAUGAAUAUCCAGUGAUGCCAGCACCAUUUGUUAAAGAGACUGUCUUUUCCUCAUUUAACUGUUUUAGGGCCUUUGUCAAAUAUCAGCUGCUCAUAAGUGGAUGAAUUUACAUCUGGAUUCUCAAUUCUGUUCCAUUGGUCUAUGUUUCUGUUGUUGUACUAGCACCAGGCUGUUUUGACUACAAUGGUGGUGUAAUAGGUUCUAAAAUCAGGUAGUGUGAUUUUUGUAUGUUUAUUUUGUAUUCUGAUAAUUUGCUGAAAUCUUUUAUUACUUCCAGUAGCUUUAUUGUGGAUUCUUUGGGGUUUUCAGCAUAUGAGAUCGUAUCAUCUGCAAAUAGGGAUGCUUUUACUUCUUCCUUACCGAUUUGGAUGCCCUUUAUUUCUUUUUCUAGCCUAAUUGCUCUGGCUAGGACCUUCAGCACAAUGUUGACUAAGAGUGGUGAUAAAGGGGCAUCCUUGUCUGGUUCCUGUUCUUAAGGGGAAUGCUUUCAGAAUGUCUCCGUUUAGGAUGAUACUGGCUGUUGGCUUUGUAUAAAUGCCCUUUAUUAUGUUGAGGAAUUUCCCUCGUAUUCCUAUUUUGCUGAGAGUUUUUCUCAUGAAUGAGUGUUGGACUUUGUCAAAUACCUUUUCUGCAUCAGUUGAUAAGAUCAUGUGGUUCUUGUCUUUUGUUUUAUUGAUGGAUUACAUUGAUUGCUCUUCUAAUCUUGAACCAUUCCUGCACGUCUGGUAUAAACCCCGCUUGGUCAUGAUGAAUAAUUUUUUUGGUAUGUUGUUGAAUUCUAUUGGCUUGAAUUUUGUUGAGGAUUUUUGCAUCUGUGUUCAUGAGGGAUAUUGGUCUGUAAUUUUAUUUAUUUAUUUUUUUUGUGGUGUCUUUAUCUGGUUUUGGUAUCAGUGUUAUGCUGGCUUCAUAGAAUGAGUUUGGGAGUACUCCAUCCUUUUCUAUGCACAGAAAUACCUUUAGUAGUGGUGGUGUUAACUGUUCUCUGAAAGUUUGCUGGAAUUCUCCAGUGAAGCCAUCGGGGCCAGGGCUUUUUUUGUUGGGAGUUUUUUAACUACCUUUUCAAUCUCUUCUUUUGUUAUAGGUUUAUUUAGUUGUUCUACCUCUGUUUGUGUUAGUUUAGGUAGGUAGUGUGUUUCUAGAAAUUUGUCCAUUUCCUCUAGGUUUUCAAAUUUGUUGGAGUACAAUUUUCAUAGCAUUCUGUUAUGAUCUUUUAAUUUCAGUUGAGUCUGUCACGGUAUUUCCUAUCUCAUUUCUUAUUUGGGUUAUUUGCUUCCUCUCAUGUUUUUCAUUUGUCUCUUUGGCCAGUGGUUUAUCACUUUUGUUGACCUUUUGAAAGAACCAACUUUUGGACUUAACUGUUUCAAUUGUUUUUCUAUUCUCUAUUUCAUUUAUUUCUGCUCUAAUUUUUAUUAUUUCCUUUCUUGUGCCUGUGGGCUUUCUUUUGCUGCUCUCUUUCUACUUGUUUGAAUUGUAGGGUUAUUGUUUUGAUUUUGGCCCUUUCUUCUUUUUGGAUGUGUGCAUUUAUUGGGUAUAAAUUGACCUCUGAGCACUGCAACACAGUAGUUUUUGAGCAAGGAGUUGUUUAGUUUCCAUGUAUUAGAUUUUUUUUUUCUUUGCUUUUUCUGUUAUUGCUUUCCAAUUUUAUGGCUUUGUGGUCAGAAAAGAUGCUUUGUAUUUGUAAUAUUUUGAUGUUUUAGAUUCUGUUAAGGCUUGUUUUGUGGCCUAACAUGUGGUCUAUUCUGGAGAAUGUUCCGUGUGCAUUGGAAAGGAGAGUAUACUUGGCUACUGUUGGGCGGAGUAUUCUGUAUAUGUCGAAGAGAUCAAGUUGGUUGAUUGUGGCAUUUAGACCUUCCAUGUCUUUAUUGAGCUUCUUUCUGGAUGUUCUGUCCUUCACCGAAAGUGGUGCAUUGAAGUCUCCUGCUAUUAUUGUGGAACUGUCUGUUUCUGUUUUCAGUGCUGUUAGAGUUCUUUUUAUGUAUUUUAGAGCCAUGUUGUUGUGUGCGUAAAUAUUUAUUAUGGUUAUGUCUACCUGGUGUGCUGACCCUUUAAUCAUUAUAUAAUGUCCUUAUUCUUUGUGGUAGAUUCUGCUUUAAUGUCUGUUUUGUCAGAGAUUAGUAUUGCCACUCCUGCUCUUUUUUGAUUGUUUGUUUGAUAAAUUUUUUUCCAUCCUUUGAGUUUGUUUCUGUCUUUAGUCUAAGGUGUGUUUCUUGUAGGCAGCAUAUAGACAAAUUGUGUUUUUUAAUCCAUCCUGCCACUCUGUCUCUUUAUUGGUGCAUUUUGUCCAUUUCAUUCAGCAUAAUUAUUGAUAGGUAUGAAUUUAGUCUUGUCAUUUUGAUGUUUUUUUGUUGUUGUUGUUGACAGUUUCUUUAUUCCACGUAAUUUUCUGUGGUGAGUCAUUUGUUUUUAUGCUUUUCUUGUUUUUUAUCUUGAUGUGUAAGAUUGUUAGUUUCUUUUGUGGUUACCUUAAUAUUUACCCCUACUUUUCUAAGUUUAAACCAAUCGUUUAUUUCUUUAUAUCACUUUAUCACCGUCUCCAUAUGAAAGAUCUAUGACGACAUUAUUUAGUCAUUCUUUUUUGUUUUAAUGUUGUCAUCUUUUGCAUAUUGAAGUCUCUGUAUCCCUAUUUUCAGUAUUUUAGCUUUGAUUUAUUUUUGUGACUUUCCUGUCUGGGUUGUUAUCUGGUUGUUCUGUCCUGUGUUCUAGUCUUGGGUUGUUAAUCUGAUGUUAUUGGUUUUCUAACCAGAGGACUCCCUUGUAAUUUUGGUUUGGCUUUUACAAAUUUCCUCAACUUGUGUUUAUCUGAAAAUGCUGUAAUAUUGCCAUCAUAUUUGGGAGACAGUUUUGCUGGAUAUGUAAUUCUUGCCUCGCAAUUUUUUUCCUUCAAGGCUUCAUGUGUGUUAUCCCAUUGCCGUCUUGCCUGCAUGGUUUCUGCUGAGUAUUCUGAGCUUAGUCUUAUUGACUCUCCUUUGUAGGUGACUUUUCAUCUAUCCCGAGCCACUCUUAAAGUUCUCUCUUUAUCUUUGGUUUUAGCAGGUUUGAUUAUAAUAUGUCUUGGUGACUUCCUUUUGAAACCUACCUCGUGUGGGGAUGGACUAGCAUCUUGGGUAGACAUCGUCUCGUCUUUCACGGUGUCAGGGAAGUUUUCUGCCAACGAAUCUUCAGCAAUAUUCUCUAUAUUUUCUGUUAUUCCCCCACCCCCGUUCUGGUACUGCAGUCACUUGUAGGUUAUUCCUUUUUAUAGGAUCCCACAUAAUUCUUAGGAUUUCUUCAUUUUUUUUUAAGUUUUUUUUAUCUGAGUUUUCCUCAAAUAAGUUGGUGUCAAGUGCUUUAUUUUCAGACGCACUAAUUCUGACUUCCAUUGCCUCAAUUCUGCUCCUAUCACUUUCUAUUGAGUUGUCUGAUUCUGAAAUUUUAUUGUUAAUGUUUUGUAUUUCUGUUUGCUGUAUGUCUUUGAAUUCUUGCAGCCUGUUAAGUUUUUCAUUAUGCUCUUGAAUAACCUGAAGUUCCUCUGUUGCUUUGUCUGUGUGUUCCUUGGCUUGUUCUGUGUUUUUCUGACCUCCUUCAUGAUCUCUUCAAGAGUUCUGUGUAUUAAUCUUUUGAAUCCUACCCCCAGUAAUUCCAAGAAUUUCUCUUCCUCUGGAAGGUUUCUUGAUUCUUUGUUUGGUGACUUGCUGAAGCCAUCAUGGCCUGCCUCUUUAUGUGAUUUUGAUAUUGACUGUUGUCUCUGAGCCAUCAAUAAGUUAUUAUAUUUAUUUUACAUUUGCUUCGUGUGUCCUAGCUUCUUGUUUUGUUUUGAUAUGCCCAAACAGGCUGGUUGUGUGAACUAGUUUGACUAUUGGCAUCUUUGUAGCUCUCACAUCCUGUCUCCAGGUGGCUAGAGCUGUUACUAGGUAUGUGAGCCCAGGAGUCCAUUUACUUUUCUGUGUGGAUUCAGCUCAGGUGGCCAGGUUGUCAGUCACUGAGUGUGGUGCAGGCUCUCACUUACAGACCUAGUAUGGAGGGCUGCUAGGCGUGAUUGGAGUAGGCCCAGGUAUCUGUCUGCAGUAGGGUUAUGCACUGAGCAAGGUAGGGGGCUGAUGGCUGCCCCUGAGUGCCUGGGUGGAAGGUGUGUUCCUGUUCCCUAGAGUACGUAGGUGGGUGGGUUUUGUAGCCAGACUUUGGGUACAUAGUGCUGCUGGCUGGAAGGACUGGGAGGCACCACUUAUUCUUGGACCCCUGUCACAGGUGGCUUGGUGGAGUGGGUGGAACCUCCAAUCCUCAGGCCCCUGAUGUGGGUAGGUGAGGACCCUGGUUAAUGGUCAGGGCAGUGUCAAAUGUCACAAAUGCGCCACUCCCCUUAUAGCUGAUACGGUUUGAAAUAGGCUUCAAGUGUAUACCCUGUUGUACAAUGCUAAUGAGGGACUACGGUGUUGAAGUGGGCCCACACAGGUCUAUGCAAGGGUGAAAGGCAUUCAGAGUCCGUCGACCCCUUAUGCCUGUGAUUAUGCAAAGGGCUGUGCCUGCCCUGAGUUUCCGGCUUAGGGGAGCUGGCAGAUUAGUUUUACCUGUUGGUUAAUUUGUUCCCUCUCCAAAGCUGGGAGAAUGGCUCAGAACACGCAACAGGUCCUAUUUCUGGCCCAGGGGUGCAGCAAUCACCGAAGCUAGACCAUGACUGGUAGCAGAGUGGGGGUGGGGCGGGUAAAUGGCAGAGAGGUACUUCCCAAAUUAAAAAAAAAAACUCAUUGCCUUUGGGUUGAUUCUGACUCAUAGUGACCCUAUAAGAUAGAGUAGAACUGCCUCAUCGGGUUUCCAAGGAGUGCCUGGUAGAUUUAAACUGCCAGCUUUUUGGUUAGCAGCCAUAGCUCUUUACUACUACACCACUAGGGUUUCCGCUUUCUAAAAGGGUUUUUUUUUUUUUUUUAAUCUGCGCGGUAGCCUAGAUGCUUAUACUUAUUUUUCACCAACUGUGCACCGUUUCUCGCUGGUUCUGGAGGUUUGAGCUGUUUCUCCACUGCUUGGUCCCUCCUGAUGCGGAAAACGCAUCCCAAGUACCUCUGCUUGCCUCACUGCUUGCACGUUAGCUGAUCCAGCCUACAGGGUUCCAAUGCUGGCCAGGUCAGGUUUGGUGACUCCUUGCUGCUUUUAAACUAUCUGUCCCUCCCCCUGCCACUCAGUCCAAUUCCUCAGCUUUGUCUUUGAUGUUCAGGGCUCCUGAAUUGUCAUAUAUAAUGGAUUCAGUUAUUUUUGGGGGCCUUUGUUGUAAUAGGGACCACAGGAAGUAUCUGACUACUCCACUAUCUUGGCCCUGCCUCUGGCUGUGACCUUUUGGAAGCAGACCACCAGGCCUUUCUUCCAAGGCACCUCUGGGUGUUUUCAAACCAUGAACUUUUAUCUGCCUUCAACAAGAGCUCUCAAAAUUCAUUCAUUCAGUUCUAUACUUAUUACUUUGCCUUUUUUUUACUCUUAAGCAUCUUUUUCCUCUCUUCUGCCUCCUUAACAGAUAACCUCAUCUCCUUUAUUGAAGUCAAGUUCAUGCAUUAGUUUGAACCAUAUAUAAUUGCUGUUUUUGUAAGUCAAAAAUAGUUGAAUAUCUGAAAUUUCAUAAGAUUCAACAUAAUUACUCCCUGGAUUUCCUAUUCUUUAACAUAAAUUUUCUUUGUAGCAUCUAUCCUGAAUUUGAUAAAAUUUAGAUAAACGUUUUACCUUGUUUCCCCUUUAAACUAUUUUUCUGUUCCUGUCUGUCCCACAAAAUUGCCCUUGUUCUCCUAAAUUUCCAUUUAUUCCUCAGUUCAGCCCACCUGAGUCUGGCCUCAUUCUUAGAUUAAUUGAAAUUUCCAUCUUACAUUUGUCACCUGCACGACAGUUUUUGCUCAAGUUUUUUUGUAGUAUUUAACACUGUUGACUAUUCUUUUCUCUGAAAUUGUCACAUCUCUUCAGUUUUUUGGUUCUCUUACUUCCUCAUUCUUUUUCUACAUUCCUCUAGGAAGUGUUUUAUAAAAUUUUAGAGGAUAGAAAUGGUAAGGAGGAGAUACAGUUGUUUUGGGCAUGCUCAAGCAAGUUGAAUGAGGCAAAUAUUAGGAAAAACAUCGAAAUAGAGGGUAGGAAACUUUGGUUUUAAUCCUCCAUCAGUAUGUAUAAUAAAAGCUCAUUUAUCCUGGAAUUUAAAGCCUUGGCUAAUUUAACCAGCAGAAUUGUUCAAAAGGGAUUGCUUUGGAGAAUCCCCUCUUUUCAAGACCAUGGCAUGAUAGUAAUUGAAAAACUUUAUGUGCCUGUAAAUGGCAGCCAGUGUCUCUGUUUAUAUGUAUUCCUUUUUUUUUUUUUUUUUUUGUAAAUUAGGAAUCAUUCAGGUUCAACAGAGUCCUCUACUUGAAAAUAUGAUGCUUUGUUCUUAGCUUGUUCUAAUUUUUAAGAAUUUUUUUUUUCUUUAAUAUACUACAGUUAGGUUUCUUUAAAAGUUUUAAUUCAGAACCUUAAUUUUGGACCUAAAUUAGAAUACUUUGUGUUCCUUUUUAAAAUGCAAAUUAGAUACUAAAUAGAUAUAAUUAGAUCCUUAAUUAGUACUGAUUGAGCAUAUUAUUAUGUUCAUGUGGAUUUUAUGCCAUUGCCUGUGUCAUGUUUGAAUUUAUUAAGCAAAUGAGCCUUUCCUUGAUAUAUUUUCCUUGAAAGCAUUUUCUUUUAUAUACAGUACUUUUUUGAAAAUGGGAUUAUCAGCUGUUUGUUCUGCUCUGUGAUGAAGACAGCUAUACCUCUUCCAGUAUAGAAUAUAUGAUUUGAAAUUAUUUGGGUUCCAAAAUACAUUUCUGUGAAUGUAUGCAUUUUGAGACUCAGCAGUUUCAUUUGAGUUAACCUUUCCUUGAAACGUCUAUUUUACUCACCAUCCAUUUUGUUUUGAUGUUUGUUUCAUUUAUUUAUUUUUUUUAUCUAGAAGGAUAUAUCGAGAGCCCUGAUGGCACAGUGGUUAAAGCACUGGGCUGCUAACUGAAAGUUUGGCAUUUGAACCCCCCAGCCGCUCUGCAGGAGAGAGAUGUGGCAGUCUGCUUCAGUAACGGUUACAGCUGUGGGAACCCAGUGGGGCAGUGCUAGUCUGUCCUAUAGGGUCACUGUGUGUCGGGAUCGACCCCACGGCACCAGGUUUGGUUUUUGCUUUUGAGGAGGACAUAUGCCAAUUUCGAAAGUUAACAGCUAAACAUAAACUUUAAAUCUGAAAAUCUAUUUCAGAAUCUUUUCCUGAUUGCAAUUGUGAAUAUUUUGGCCUGUUUCCUGAAUGUAAUUUAUUUAGAAACUUUAGUUCUGAAUUUACCUUGUUUUUCAAAUACUGUGCCUUCAGCUUGAAUUUUUUAAGUUCUUUGUCUCAUGUAGUUCACUGAAGAAAACAUGUGAAGUUUGAAGGAAAAUGUUCCAAGAGUAAAGCUUAGCAUAGGCUAGUUGUGAUAUAAGCUCUACAGAUGUUAGUAACGGUGGUGGUGAUGGUGAUGAUGGUUGAUGGCUAUAGCAGCAACUUCCUAAUUUUUAGGACUGUCAUAAAAUUCUCCCUCCAAAAGAAUCUUGAGUCACUUUAAGAAAAGAAGUAUAUGGUAUAUCUCAAAGAAAGUAAUUUUUAAAGGUUUGGCAUAGUGCCUUGCAGAUUGUGGGUUCAUCAUCAAUAUUCAUUGCUUACUUUUUUGAUAGACAGGACUCACAAAAUCAUUUAGCUAACAUAACAGGGUGUUGCAAUUAUUGAUUGAGAUAUAAUGUUCUGAGUUUUCCUUUGGGUGUUAUUAAGAAACAAAAUUGUCUUAGAUGAAGAUCAAGCAUUCCUAUUUCAGUGAAGAAAUGAGAACCAUUUCACUUUUAAGAAGAAAAAUAAAAUUAAAGUGAAGUUACAGAAUUUACUAUUUUCCAAAAUUGAAAAUGAUGAGAUACCUGUUUUUGUCUUCAUAGUUGUUCGUUUACAUUAUUGUAGUAAUUAAAGCCAACAAUUAUUAGUUGCUAGCUCUUACUGCAUUUAGUCACUUUUCUAAGCAUCAUAGUAGUUAUGCUCAUUGGUCCUGGAAUCAGAAUUCCUCAGUUUCAGUUCUGGCUGUACUACUUAUUACUUGUGUAAUCUUGGGCAAGUUACUUAACUUCAAUUUUCUUGUCUUUAAAAUGGGUGAAAUAAUAGUAGUCACCCCCAAAUGGUUGGCGUAAGAAUUAAAUAAGAUCAUCAUCAUAACAGCUGACCUUUUCGAACCUUUUCUAAGUGCCAGGUGUGUGCUUUACAUACAUAUCUUACUGUCAUCAUACCUGCUUCGUAGGUGAGGAGAAUGAACCUGAGAGAAUUUAAGUAACUUUGCAAAUCACAUAGAAGUAUGUCUGUUGCAAAUAACAGAAAACAUGAUUACUGUGGCUUAAGCAUAUACAGUUAAUUUUUCUUGUAUAAGAAUUCUAGAUGUUGGUGGCUUCUGGAGUAGCUUCAGCAGCUUAACAGCAUGGGUGUAAUAGGUUACUGAUUUUACGGGCCACAUAUCUGUGUUCCAGAGAGGAAGAGAUUGGAGAGGGUGGGAUCAGCAUCUUUGUCCCUUUUAUCAGGAAAAUAAAAGCAUUUUUAGAAACCUCUCACAGACUUCAGCUUAUAGUUCAUUGGUCAAACCUGUGUAACAUUGCCACUCCCUAGCUGCUGAGAAGACUCUGAAAACACGCAUUUAACUUUUUCAGUAUGGAGUGCUGCAGGGAAGACGAAAACACCAAACCUGUUGCCAUCGAGUCUAUUCCAAUUCAUUAUGACCCUGUAGACAGAGUAGAACUGCCCAUAGGAGGGCCUGGUGGAUUCAAACUGCUGACCUUUUGGUUAGCAGAUGAGAAGGGGACUGGGAAUAACCCCACCCCCACCCCACUUAUCUAUUGUCUAUUUGGUGUUUUUCCACUCCACCCCCCCCCAUAACCAUCAAAGAUUGUUUCUUUUUGUGUGUAAACCUUUUCAUAAAUUUUUAUGGUAUAUUUGUCCUUUUGUGAUUGACUUUUUUCACUCAGCAUAAUGCCCUCCAGAUUCAUUUGUGUUGUGAGAUGUUUUGCAGAUUGAUCGUUGUUCUUUAUCGUUGCAUAGUAUUACAUGUGUGUAUAUACGGUAGUAUGUUUAUCCAUUCAUCUGUUGAUGUGCACUUUGGUUGUUUCCAUCUUUUUGCUGUUGUAAGUAAUGCUGUAAUGAACAUAGGUGUGCUUAUGUCUGUGUGACAGCUCGUAUGUCUCUGGAAAUGUCCUAAUUUCACCAUCAUACUUGAAUGAGACUUUCACAGGAUGUAUUAUUCUUGGUUGGCAAUUAUUUUCUUUCAAGGUUUUAUAUAUGUCAUUCCAUUGCCUUCUUGCCUGCAUGGUUUCUGCUGAGUAAUCAGAGCUUAGUCUUACUGUUUCCCCUUUGUAUGUGACUUUUCUUUUUUUUCAAACUGCUCUCAGGAUUCUUUGUCUUUGGUUUUAGCAUAAUUAUGAUAAGCCUUGGUGAUUUUCUUUUGGAGUCUAUUCUAUAUGGGGUUCAUUGAGCUUCUUGAAUGGUUGGCUUUUCAUCUUUCAUGAUAUUAGGGAAGUUUGUCAGCAAUUCUUCAAUGAUCCUCUCUGUGUUUUCCAUUUUCUCCCCUGUUCUGGAACUCUGAUCACUCACACAUUUUUGCUUUUGAUUGUAUCCCAUAUAAUUCUCAAGGUUUCUUCAUUUUUUUCAUUCUUUCUGAUUUUUUCCUCAGAGUGGUAUCCAAGUAUUUGUCUUCAGUUUCACUGAUCCUGUCUUCCACUGUUUCAGACCUGCUCCUCAGACCUUCUGUGGCACUGUCCAUUUCUGAAAUCUUGUUGUUUAUCUUUUGGAUUUAAUUGUUGUUUUUUUCUAUGAUUUCUAGUUGUGAAUUUAUUUUUACAUUUAGUUCCUGUAUUAUUUUCCUGAAUUCUUCCAUUGUUUUAUGUAUUUUCCAUGAUUUUUUCUGCCUUUUCCAUGAAUUUGUCUAUUUCUUCCUCAUUUUUAUCUGCUUUUUGCUUCAAAUCUUGGAUAGCUCUGAAUAUUAGAAUUUUGGAUUCCCUUUUAUCAGGUAGUUGCAGUGCCUUUUCUUCUACUAGAAGGUUAUCUGGUGUUUUAUUUUCUAUGCCUACUGGAACUAUCCUGCCCUUUUUUUUCUUUUUUAAAUAUGUUUUGAUAUUGUCUGGUGUCUUUGGGACAUUCAGUAGUCAUUUUCUUCAUUCAUUUAUUGAUUAUAGGUUUGUUUUGUCCUGCUUUUUUGUUCUGUUUGGUUGUCUGAACAGGUGGGCUGUGCGUUCUUUGUUGUUUGCUCAUCUGUGGGCACUUUUCACCUCAUUGUCCAAUGGUCGGGGCCAGUUGCUCAGCUAUGGUGCAGCAGGGCAGGUCCACUGAGUGCCCUGUCUCCUGCUGGCAGCUCCGUGAAGCUGCUUUCCUGUACUCCCUGUCUGCCAAUCUCUGACAGGAGUCCAAGAUUGCAAAUCCAUGCUGCAUUAGCUGAUAGGCGGCCUCUACUCCGUAUCCCUCCUCACUCCUUGUUCUCUGUCAGUUUUUUAUUCCAUUCGGUGCUUGGUUGGGUUCUUUAUCUCUUCAUUUGACACUUAGGGUUCGGGAUUGACGUUUGUCUCUGUUUUACUUAGUUUUUCUGGUCUUUGCUGUGAAGGGACAGUGAACUGCUUCUGCCGAUAGCACCAUGUCGGUUCCACCUCCUGGAAAUAAGUCUUGUGUUACCUAGCUAGUGGGGUCUGCUACUUUGUCUGACUGCCAACACCUGUUAAGUGGCAGAACUGGAAUUCUAACCCCGAUGGAUCUCGUUCCAAAGGCCUCAUUCUCAUUCUCCAUUUCUGCCUCUCAAAGAAUAAAGACACACAGAUUACAAGCAUUUCAAAUGAAUGUUAUCCAACAUGAAUGUAGGUAAAGUUUUCUUGAAAUUUUGUGUUUUUCAAAGUGGAAAUUAUUUGCAAUUUUAGACUGCUGAAUAUUGAAGGUAUAGCUUAUGUCCCUUCCUAUCUUCAAACAAAAUACAAAACAGUAAUUAGUGACUGAAUGACUACUAAGAUGUAUGUUUCAGGAAAUUUCUGAUAGUAUUUUUUUACUUUCUAAAAUAAACAUAAUGCAUAAUUAAAGCAAUGAGUUUUUGCCUUUUUCUGUUCCAAUUAUUGUGUUUUAACUCAUGUUAAAUGAGUUUGUUCUAUGCUCAUUUCUUAAGAGUGGUUGUCCACUGAUUUCAUUUUCUGGAAAAUAAAACUAUGUCACAGUUCUUGGAAACUGCAUAUUUAUUUAUUUAUUUUGUUUUGGUUUUGCAGGGAUGGGAGGUGGGGUGAAGAUUGGUUGAAGCUAAGGUCAUAAUCCAAAUUCCUUGUUCAGUCCUCAAAUACAUAACCAUAGUUUACUCUUGUAUCUCUUUCUUUUCAUAUUUGAGAUAAAUUACAUUGAAUUUUGUAGAGAAACAAAGGAAAAGAUAUAGUAAUCCUUUUGAAUUAGAUGUCAUUAUCCUUUUUUUUUUUUUUUUAAGGCAAGGAGAUUGAGGCCUAGAGAAGUUAUGAAACAUAGGAAAAGUCCGUAAACUAGUAUGUGGUAGAGUUUGAAUUGGAGCCUAGCUUCUGACUCCUAGGCUCAUCCCUUUCCACACUGCAUAGUGAGGAUGAAAUCCUGGACAGUCUUUCCACUUAGGACAGAUCCUUAUUUUUCUACUUCUUUUAGAAUAUUUAAAUUUCAUGGUUAUCAAAUAAAGCAUAUCUCUAUCACUUUUUUCAUUUUAACAACUUUUUAUGAAUCUUUUAUAAAAGAUUUUGUAAAAUAAUUUAUGUAAAUCUUAUGUGAAAUAAUUAAAAACCGUUAUUAAUUAUUGUCGUUGUUGUUAGUUGCCUAUUGAAUGUGCUUCAAGUCACGACGACCCUGCGUAUAAUAAAAUGAAACAUUGCCCAGUCCUGUGCCAUCUUCAUGAUUGUUGGUAUAUUUGAGUCCAUCAUUGUGUCUGUUGAGUCAGUCCAUCUCAUGGAGGGUUUCCCUUGCUUUUGCUGACCAAACAUGACAUGCUUUUCUAGCAAUUGAUCUUUCCUGAUGACCUAUCCAAAGUAAACAAGCAGAAGUCUCACCAUUCUCACUUCUAAGACUAACGGUGAAUGUUUUGCUAUUUGCUUAAUUCUUAAAUGACUUUUCACUGGCUUCUUUUGUUUGCUCGUUGGCCUUUUUUUUUUUUUUAUCUCUUUCCUUUUAUACCCUUUGUCAUAACUGUUAUAACUCUUUUUCUCCACUUUGUUGUCAGUAAACUUCGCUAUACAAAAUUUUUCUACUAUUAGGUAAUUGAUUUUAUCUGUUUUUCUUUUAUAGCUUCUAGUUUGGGUUCAUAUUUAGAAAGACCUUCCCUACCUCCUUGGAAACGGUGGCCUAUGUUUCCUUCUAGUAUUUUUAGUUUGAUAUUUCAGGCUUAAUUUAUUUUAAACUGUUUGAAAUUGAUUUUGGAAUAAAUCAGAACUCCUACUGCCCCCCAUAACAAAAAUUGCUAAUAUUUUUUGAGGUCUUAUUGUCAUAUUUUAUUGCUCAUACGACACACGUUUCUUUGCAUUUUAACUUCUCUUUCUUUAAAUCAGUAUUGGCCAGAUGACACUUGUGGUGUAGUUGCCAUUGCCUUCCCAUAUGCAAAGUUUGGAAACCAUGGUGACGUAGUGGUUAAGUGCUACAGCUGCUAACCAAAGGGUCGGCAGUUCAAAUCCACCAGGUGCUCCUUGGAAACUCCAAGGGGCAGUUCUACUCUGUCCUAGAGUCGCUAUGAGUCGGAAUUGACUUGACGGCACUGGGUGGGUUUUUUAUGCAAAGGUCAUCAUAGUUAUACUAUCAUUGCUUUUUUGAGUUAUGAGUUUGAUGAACUGCAUGUUACAAUGUAGUGGGCCAUGCUCAGUUUGUUUUUUAAGAAAAGUAGGAUAGGAAAUAUUAGAAUGCAUUUUAUAUAGUGAGACUAAUUAUUGUUUUGGGAGAACUUGUUUCAGUUGUGCGUAAUAUGUGUGUGUAUAAAGACAUCUCCUUAUGAGGACGCUGGGUUAUUAUGUAAACUGUAUUUCCUACUUCGGGCUAUCUUUAAAAAAGUUUGAUAGCCACUGUGGUCAAGAGAGUGUAAUGAUGAAAAUAAAGGUAAUUGUGGAAGAUUGUAACCACUACUGACCAGAAAGGAUGAAAUGGCUGGUGCCGAAAUGUGAUAAAGUUCAGAUUACUGUGUACCACCCUGUAUCUUCUGAGGUUCCUCACCUUCUUUUUCUGACCCUCAUCAUACUUUCUCAUUGGCCACUUGUCUACCCACUGCUGUUCCUAAAGUUCUGGACUCUCUCUUUAGCAUAAACACCAUUGGGAGUUAGUGAUGCUUAGCCAGAUUUAUCUUUAAUUUCUGCUUUGCACUUAUUAGUCACAGACACUAACUUGCCCCAGCCUUCCUAUAUAGGAAGCAUAUCCAAUAAAGAGAAGCAAAGCCAUUUGUUUUCCAGAAUAUACAGUUAGCUGUAUCGUUUAUAAAGAUAAUGUUGUUCCCAAGUUCAUUACUGUAAAUUCAUUUGGACAAUAGCUCUUUAUUAUCUUUACUGUAUGGUUGUAGGAGCUGGCUUUCAUUUUUUGUUCCAAACCAGUAUACUGCAUUUACUUUUCCCUGUUGAAUAUCUGCCAAUUUCCCAUCUUAAAGAUCUUUUUUCUUCCUCAUUUUAUGACUGAACAUAUGUAGAUAUCAUCUUGUGAUAGAUUCUAAUUUAGUUUUUGAACAAAUUUAAUUUUUUAAUUCAUGUUUAAGACUAGUAUUUUAAAAGGUUUGACAUAUUUCUGUAACCCAUGUGUAGUAUUUUCAUAUAGUUUAAGUAAUACAGGGAAUAUUUACUGUAGUAUUACACUUUUUUAAAAUAGUAAUUUAAAGUUAUCUUUUUGUGUUCUGAACUUUACAUCUGAAUUUCUUGUACUGAUAGUGUGUGCUUUUUUAAAAAUGUAUUUAUCAAUACUUAAGUUUUUUUAUUUUCCUUCUGUUACGUAUUAGCAGGAAAUAAACAGUUGGUGUUCAUGAUCUAAUUAAUUGUUACAAUUUUAAAAGCAGAAACUUUCUAGUAGGUAGGAAUUUAAAAUGGUGCAAUCACUUUGGAAAAUUGUCUGGCAAUUUCUUAGUUAAGCAUGGAACUACCAUGUGAGUCACCAGUUCCACUCUUACGUAUCUCCCCAAGAGAAAUAAAAACAUAUGUCAACACAAAAACUUGUAUAUGAAUGUUUGUACAACAUUAUUUCGAGUAGUCAAAAAGUGGAAAUAACCCAAAUCUUCAUCAAUCAAUGAGUGGAUAAAUACAAUAUGGUAUAUCCAUACAAUGGAAUGUUUGGCAAUAAAAAAAACUGAAGUUCUGGUCCAUGCCGUGACAUGAAUGAAACGUGAAAACAUUAUGUUAGGCAAAAGAAGCCAGUUACAAAGGAUCAUGUACUGUAUGAAUCCAUUUGUAUGAAAUGUUCCAAAUAGGCAAAUCUAUAGAGACAGAAAGUAGAUUAGUGGUUGUCCAGGACUGGAGCAGGAAAGGGGAAUAAGGGGGUGACAGCUAAGAGGUGUGAGGUUUCUUUUCUAGGAUAAUGAAAAUGUUCUAAAAUUGAUUGUGGUGAUGGAUGCACAACCCUUUUUAGUGAAUACUUUAAAAGUCAUUAAUUUCCUCUGUAUGGUUCGUGAAUUAUAUUUCAAUUUAAAAAAUGAAAAAAACUUGCCUGGUAUAAGAAAGGUAGUAUGAUAAGGUAGUCAGGAGACUCAAUUUCCUUCUCUUCUGUUUGUAUGAACUUGAGCAAGUCACGUACCUUCUUUGGGCCACAGUCCUGUAGUCUGGUCCUUCUGUAAGAGCCUUCCUAACUCUAAAAUCUACGAUUUUAAUUUUAGGGGAAAUGAUCUGAUUAUAGCUGUCAACAAGCAUGCAUUUAGACACACUGAUUGCUCUUAUUCAGUGGUUUCCCAAAUUGCAGGCAUGCUGAUUUAGUAGUACUAAUCCUGCUGCCCUCCUCUCCCUUAUCAUGGUUUCUAAAGGAAAGUCCAUUGUUUGUUUGCAUUAAAGACAGCAUUUUUCCAAAGUUGCUCUUCAGUGCAGUUCACCUCAUUUCUUAGCCUAAACAAUAUAUGUGGUGCCACUGAGUCUGCUGUGAAAUAGCUUUAGUUAUUCCUUUAUAAAACAUGCUAAGAGUAGCCCUUGUCACUGCAAUGUUAAUCAGAGUAUCUCAUUAAAUGACCACAGACUUUAUUUAUAGGAAGGUAUAUUUUUGGAUUUAUAUCAUUUUAUCUCUUAUAGACACAGUGUAUUAUUUGCCUGGUUACUUUAUAAUUGUAAUAAUUUCAUGCCACCCACUGUACGUUGUUCUGCAGUGGUUAUUCUAACCACAAAUUAAGGAGUUAUUUUUCUGUGGUUCAGUACUAUGCAAGGAUUAUAUUGCAAGAGUUGCUGGAACCCAAGUUCUGUAAACAGUUUUUCUGGAAAAAGUCUUUGUAUAACAGACUGACUAGAUUGUUGGUACUCAAAACAUUAGAGGACAGAAUUUAGAUGAGCAAAACUUAACUCACUGAUGAUAAAAUUAUCGAUCAUUGUACUAUAAAAUGUCAGAUGAGGAAUUUACCAGGUGCUCUCCAUGUUGGUCUAUGGCAGCAGCUUUUUCAGUAGGACGGAACUCUCAGGAGAUUUCCUAAACCUAGGGCAAUAAUUCUUUACACUUCAGGGUCGUGGGCCCAUUUGAGAAUACAGUGAAACCACAUUGGACAACCAGAAAAAUUUAUACGUGUAUGUACAUAUAUUUUGCAUGCAGUAUUAGAGAGCUCACAGAUUCCCCCAACAGAGCCAUUAACCUUUAGAGAUCCAUGAAGCUAGGUUAAAAACACAUGAUUUGGAGGUCUGAUGAUAUGGAAGCAAGGCAGGUUUUAUCUUCAGGAGUCUGUAAUGGUGAUAAUUUGGAGGCGGACCCAUGUACUCCUUUUGGCAGUGCGUAAGGUAUGCAGAGUGUGCUGAACUUGUGGGAAUAUAGAGGUCGUUCAUGUUAUAAGCAUUUUAGGAAUGCCAUCUCAUGAGACUAUGUCUUUUGUUCAUUGGUGUAUCCAAGCACGUAUCAUAGCAGGAGUUCAGUAAAUAUUUAUUGAAUGAAUAAAUGGGUUCGAGGAGAAAUGUGUUUUGCAGAAGAGCUGAAUCUUGUUACCAAAUAUCACUGUAUAUUGUUUCUACUCUUAAUAGCUGAUGUUUCAGAAGCAAUAUAAGAAAAAUAGAUAGUAAUGCCUCUAAUAAUAAUAUAUUACAGAAGAUGGUCUUCUUACACCUAAGCAUAAAUUUAACUUCCCUGUUUACCUCUCACCUUGUGUAACCAUAUUUAGUAAUUAGAGAAAAUGCAGAUUUAAUAAAAAAUCUUUAUACUGUGUCUAGCUAUUUUGAAAACCUGUAAGACUUCUUCAGAUUUUAUUUUUGGCUAGAAUUUUGGUUUUGUAAGUAACACAAAUUUUAUUCUGUGUGAUUUCUUUCAAGAUUUUUCAGUUCUUUAUAUAUUUUUAAAAUAAUGGCGUAAAGGUAGGUUCAUUAUUUGCUGUCUUCUUUCAGAUUCAAGUAGAUACACAAGAUUUCAAAAUAGUUUCUGCCUCCCUAGUGAACAACUUCAAAAAACAAUCAAAAAAAAAAAAAGACAAUCUAAAUCCUUCCCACAUAAAUGACUUUUUUUCUCAAAUAGAUUUAUUGAGUUCAUACAAAGGAGCCAUGGUGGUGCAACGGUUCAGUGCUCGGCUGCUAACCAAGAGAUUGGAGGUUUAAACCUACUCAAUCGCCCAGCUGGAGGAAGACCUAACAGUCUGCUCCUGUAAAGAUAACAACCUAGGAAACCCUAUGGGGCAGUUCCACUCUGUCAUAUAGGGUCACUAUGAGUCGACUCGCCGGCACACAAGAAGAAGAAGCUUAUCUUAAGUCACUUUUUGAGAAGUAAAAUGAAGUUAUAUUGUUAAAAUUACUUUUUUGAGGUUUAUUCCAAAACUCUCAAGAAGGAGAAUUCUUAACCUGACUAGCUUAAUAUAGUAGGCUGGUUCACAGUGUAAUAUAAUGGGUAGGCUCAUAGCUUCGAAACAGGAAGCUAAUACUUAAUGACUCUUUGCUGGGUUCCAGGCAAAUGCAUUAACUUACUAACCCUCACAGUGAUUAUAUUGGGCACAUAUUAUUAUUAUUUCCAUUUUACAAAUAAGGCAACUUAAGGGCACAGAGGUUGAGUAAUUUGUCUGAGACCAUAUGUCACUCACUUACUCAUUGGUAAUUCACAAAGCCUGGAUUCAAGCAUUGGCAGACUAGUUACAGAGUCUGUGCUCUCAACCACUACACUAGACUGCCUCUUAAACUCUAGAAUCAAGAAUUAAAAAAUGCUUGAGACAGUCAAGGAAGGCUUCACAGAGGAGGUGACAUUUGAACUGAUUCUUAAAGAAUGAGUAGAAGUUCCUCAAGUAGGGGAAGGGAGAAGGAGGAGGCUGUAUAGAUGCCCAGUAGUGUGGAUGGGGAUGGUGGUUGUGAGAAAGGCUGGCAAGGGCAAGUAGCAGGAGAUGAGACUAGAAAGAGAUAGGUUGGAACUGGAUUGUGCGUUGACUUGAGCUCUGUUGAAGAAGUACAGACUUGAUACUACAGUGCAGUGGUCCCACAACUCAGAUCCAAAGAUUGAUGCUGGGCUGGUUACCUCAGAAUCAAGUGGUAGUUCUUUUAAAAGACAGAUUUCUAGGUCCCAUUCUAGGAGAUUCUGAUUCAGAAAAUCUGGGAUGAAGGGCAGGCAUUCAGGUAGUUCUGAUGUACAGGUGUGCUCGGGACCUGCACUAUAGGCUGUGAGGGACUAAUGGAGACUUAUAAGCAGGGAUGUGGCAAGAAGAGGAUUUUGCUUUAAAAUGGAAAUUGUUGAAACCAGUAUAAAAUAAUUAGAGAUUUGCGGUCAGGAACAUCAGUUAGGAGGCGAUGAUGAAAAUUCAGAAAAGAGAUAAUGAGAUCUUGAAUUAAGACUGUGAUUACUGUUGGAGCAGAGAGGACAGAUUCAAAAGAUACUUCAGACAAUGGAUUAAAUAAGGAAGAAAGAGAUGAGGGAGAAAUAAAGGAUUGUGUUAGGAUUCAUAAACUGAGCAAAUGGGUGGAUAAUUUUGCUUUACCUGAGCUAUGAGGAAAAUCCUUUUGUCGUACGAAGUUUUACUUUUUAAGAUCUCUGUAUUAAAGAUAACAUAAAUAGUAUUUAUUUAGUUAUGUAUGUUGAGGACAAGCAGAAUGUUUACGAUAGGAAACAAAUAUUCAAGAUAUUUAGUAAAGCCUCCAGGGAGAAGAGAAGAGGCUUAGCUGUUCUGUCAGAAGAGUCUCUCUGUCCUGGCCAGAUGUAAAGAAAUAAUUGGCAGCUUCUGUUUAAACACAACCCAUCAGCUGCCUGGGUCAGUGCUGGCCACACAUCUCUCUGCUGUAUACUCUCCUGCUAUUUGUGGAAGCCCACCCUCCUGAAUGGAAUCGUGUCCCCUACCUGAGGCCCAGUUAGUGCCCUCAGCCUGGCCCAUGCAACUUAACACCUUGCCUCCCUGCACAGGGAGGUGUGAGGACCCCAUGAGAAUGCACAUAGUUCAUAUUUAACACGUUACUUGCUUCUACCAAGUACCUUUUGCCGUUCAGCUCACAACAGCACCUUUAGUUGCCCCUAGUCACCCAAGCAGUUGGUCCGGGGGCAGACAGUUUAGAUAGCAUGUGCUUUUCUACCUGGCCCCAUGAUUGCACGAGUAGACACCUGAACCAAGCUGGAACCAAUCCAAGUUCCAUCCCCUGGAAUUGGGACUAAAAGAUAAGUAGUUCUCUUUAAACGUCUGGGGCUAUAAAUCAAAUUCCAAGGCUUUGGGCAGACUGGAGAACAGGGAAAGCUGGAUCAAAGAAAGAGAAGAAUUACACAAACAUGCAGCAAGAAGAGAGGUAACAAUCACAAGAGAGAGAUCACUGCCUGUGACUCUGAUGCUUCUCAGUUUCUGGGCCCAGCCAUUCUUGAAGUCUGGCCAUAUUUCUGCUCUGGGGUUUCUUAAGGCACCCAUGUAUCGUUAAAAAUUCAUUUUCUCUCUCUUUCUUCAUAAGCUAGUUUGAAUUAAUUUCUAUCGCUGGCAGCCAAGAGUCAGUAUCCAUGCCCUAGUACUGCCUGCUCUCAUUCUUUCUUGACCUUUGUCAAAGAUUUGCUACCAGGAUAUGCUAUCAGGCAUACCAGGCCUACCGUUUUUGAAAUCUGUCUGAUCUUUAGACAACAUAUUUGGAUUCAUUUAUUUGAAAUACAUGUCAGGCCUUCAUAUUUUCAGUCCAGCUUAAGCAUUUGGGUUGAACACUCACAGAGGUAGCACUUUAGAGUGGGAAACAUAGUGGUAUGUGUUCCAAUACAAAUUUUUAAAUCCAGCUACAUAUGUGUACAGUGACUCUGGGUAUUCCUUCCAUCUUGUUUUGAUGCUUCCUUCAUCAUUCUGUGUUUUGCCCAUAGACUCCUUCAGUAUUGCAACGCGAGGCUUGAAUUUUAUCAUCAGUUCUUUCAGCUUGAGAAAUACCAAGUGUAUUCUUCCCUUUUAGUUUUCUGACUCCAGGUCUUUACACAUUUCAUUAUUAUACUUUAUAAUACAUUCAACCAUUUCGGAGGUAGCAUAUAAUCAAGAACUGAUGGUAUUAAAGGAAUUAGUCCAAGCUGCACUGAAGGCAUUGGGGGAAAAACAAGGUUUCAAGAAUUGACAGAAUACCAAUUGAGAUGUUUCAGCAAACGGAUGAAAUGCUGGAAGUGCUCACUCUCUAUGCAAAGAUAUUUGGAAAACAGCUACCUGGCCAACCGACUGGAAAAAAAUCCAUAUUUGUGCCCAUUCCAAAGAAAGGUGAUCUAAUGGAAUGAAGAAAUUGUUGAACAAUAUCAUUAAUAUCACACACAAGUAAAAUUUUCCUGAAGAUAAUUCAAAAAUAGUUAUAACAGUACAUUGACAGGGAACCACCAGAAAUUCAAGCCAGAUCCAGAAGAGGGUAUGUAAUAAGGGAUAUCAUUACUGAUGUCAUAUGGAUCAUGGCUGAAAGCAGAGAAUAACAGAAAGAUGUUUACGUGUGUUUUAUCGACAAUACAAAGGUAUUCAACUGUGUGGAUCAUAACAAAUUAUGGAUAACAUUAGGAAGAAUGGGAAUUCUAGAACAGUUAAUUGUGCCCAUGCAGAACCUGUACAUAAACCAAGAGGCAGUCGUUCGAACGGAGCAAGGGAAUAGUGCGUGAUUUAAAAUCAGAAUAGGUGUGUGUGAGGGUUGUGUCCUUUCACCAUAUGUAGUCUGUACGCUGAGCAAAUAAUCCGAAAAGCUGGACUAUAUGAAGAAGAGCACAGCAUCAGGGUUGCAGGAAGACUCAUUAACAACCUGCCAUGUGCAGAUGACACAACUUUGCUUGCAGAGAGUGAAGAGGACUUGAAGCACUUACUGAUGAAGAUCAAAGACUACAACCUUCGAUAUGGAUUACACCUCAACAUAAAGAAAACAAAACAAAUCCUCACAACUGGACCCAUAAGCAACAUCAUGAUAAACUGAGAAAAGACGUUAUCAAGGAUUUCAUUUUACUUGAAUCCACAGUCCGUGCCCAUGGAAGCAACAGUCAAGAAAUCAAAUGACAUAUUGCGUUGGGCAGAUACGCUGCAAAAGACCUCUUUAAAGUGUUGAAGAGUAAAGAUAUCACUUUCAGGACUAAGAUGCACCUGGCCCAUGCCAUGGUAUUUUUCUUCGCCUCUUAUGCCUGCAAAUGCUGGACAAUGAAUAAGAAAGACCAGAGAAAAAUCGAUGCCUUUCAAUUACAAUGUUGGUGAAGAAUAUUGAAUAUAACAUAGACCGUCAGAAGAAUGAACAAAUCUGUCUUAGAAGUACAGCCAGAAUGCUCCUUAGAAUCAAGGAUGGUGAGACUUUGUCCCACACACUUUUGGCAUGUUAUUGAGAGGGACCAGUCCCUGGAGAAGGACAUGAUGCUUGAUAAAGUAGAGGGUCAGUGAAAGAGAGGAAGACCCUUGACGAGAUGGAUUGACACCGUGGCUGCAGCAAUGGACUUAAACACAGCAACAGUUGUGAGGAUGGCGCAGGACUGGGCAGCGUUUCAUUCUGUUGUAUAUAGGGUAGCUGUGAGUCUGAACCAAUGCAAUGGCACCUAACAACACAUAUAUGUAUAUCUCUAAAUACAUGAUUUAGGGUUCUGAUUGUUACCUUUGUUCCUCCUUCGCUUUUCAAAUGAUUCCUGCCAAAUUUUGUAGCCAGCUUAUGAAUAUAGAGAAAAUUGAACUUAUUCAGAAAUCAGGAUUACUUUAAAAUGCGUAUAUAUGAUUGCUCAACAGUUUUUUUUUAAGGAUAUGUACAUUAGGAUCAGAGAAUCAUAAGUGUAUACUCUCAAAAUGGAAAAUUUUAAGACAUCAACUAACUUAAAUAAAUUAUACCUUUGGAUAGCCCAGUCAAGGAGGAUUCCAAAAAAAUGUAUAGUGAAAUAGACCAGAAUUUAAUUAUAAUGAAAAAAUAUCAAUCAUGUUUCAAUAUAUAGUUGGCCCUCCGUAUCUGUGGGUUCUGCAUCCACAGAUUCAACCAACUGCAUAUCGAAAAUAUUCAAGGAAAAAAAAAAGUAAAAAAAAAAAAAAAAGCAAAACUUGCAUUUGCCACACUCUGAGCACUAUGCUGAAUCCAUGUGAAUGCAAUGAUGUGGAGGCACCCCCUGCCGUAGCCGCCUGCCAUCUCACAGUCCUCAGUCUCAUUCCUGCGCUGGUUGUCUGAGCAUUGUUCACCUCGAGUCUUGUCACUAUUCCCUAAACAAUACAGUAUAACAACUAUUUACAUAGCAUCUAUGAUUAGGUAUUAUAAGUAAUCUAGAGAUAAUUUAAAGUAUGUGGGAGGAUAUGCAUAGGUUAUAUGCAAACACUACGCCAUUUUAUGUAAGGGACCUUGGUAUCCCAGGGGGUCCUGGAAUCAAUCCCCUGAGAAUACCAAGGGACUACUGUAGAGCAUACAUAAUUAUGUACUGUGUAAUCAAGUAUUCUUUUCAUGAAUGAGAAAAGAAUUAAAGCCAGGCAAACUGCAGGGUAUCAAAUUGAUUAAAAUUAUAAGAAUUAAAGUGGUUUAUUGGUAUAUAUCAUGCUAUUAUUAUAAUGCAUGGAAUAGCUUUGCUAAUUUAUAUAUUUUUCUGUAAUUUUCAUGCUAUUUUUUAAAUUCCAUUAUGAUUUAUUCUUUGACCCUAUGUUAUAUAGAAAUUUUUUUUUUUUUUUUUUUAGUAAUUUAUUUCUACAAAUAUAUUUUAAAUUUCCAAAUGAAUGGUCAUUUUUUAUUAUUCAUUUCUGGCCUAAUUGUAUUGUGAUCUCAGAAAGUGAUGCCGAUUAUUUAAAUUUGUUAUACUUCUUUAGCCUGGCAUUUGGUCAGUUUGUAUAAAUGUCCCGUUUAUAAAACCACUAUGUUGGUGGAUUUGUCUUUUCUCCUAGUAAAUCUUUUCUUUGAGGUUAUUUUGCUACUUUCAUACCACUUUAGAGUUGUCAUAUCUACUGGGAAAUUUUCUCUGUUUUGCAUUAUGUAAAUUUUUUUUCAUUAUGUAAUAACCCUUGGUUCUCUAGUGAUAUUAAAAGAAGCUGAAGUUUUACAAAACCCAGCUUUAGUGUUCUGCAUAUUCUUCGAGUUCCAGCUGUCUUUUUCUUUUUCUGUCUUUCUAUAAUAAGCUCUAAAUUGCCAAGUGAACAGUACAAUUAAAGAAAAGUUUUUCGAUAUUUUAACCACUAAAUUCAUUUCUUUUUAGCACAAGGUUUAGUCAGUUUACUUGUUCUGGUGUAUUGCUGGAAAUGGAAGUCUGUUACUUUUUAAAAUUUAUUUAUAAUCAAGAUCAGGCUUUGAAGAAUAAAUUAAAUCAGAGCCCUAUGGAAUGUACUUUUAAGUAAGUACAAAUUUUAAUUACACUUCUUGCAUUGUUCUUGCUUGAUAUUGAUGUUCUGUGACCAGUAAAUACUAUAAGAGAUUUAAAUGUAGGGAGGCAUUCUGAAAGUUAGAGAAAUGGUUGGCUUUUUUUUUUUCCGGUAAUCACUUAUGUGCUUAAAGCAUCUAUCCUCAGGGCUGUUAUUUUUCAUUAAUUAACUUCUUUACAUUCUCAGAAUCACUUCAGAUAUAAUUAACACAUAAGAUUAAAUUCAUAAGCAUGAAACUAUUAUGGCUGUGUAGUUAUGAGGAUUUAGAAAAACAAUUAAACAAAGCAAAACUUUUUGACUCCUGAUAGACUAGAUGUGGUCAGCAGCUGCCUAUUCUUUGAAUAGGAUAAAAGGAGGUACCUUAAACAAAUUUUAGUUCAUAGUAUAUUAUCGUGUAUGAGGCUGUUGUGGAUUUAUUGUUUGAUUACAUGCCGCAACUGUUGAAGAAAGUGAUUCCUUUUGUAAGUUUAAGAAUAAAAACAGUACUAUUAGCAAGUUGUUACAGAAGGUUUCGUAAAGAUGUUAAUAAAACAGUGUAGUGUUCAUGAGCGCAAGACCUGUAGUCAAACUACCUGGGUUUGCUUAUUAAGUGAGUUAACUCUCCAUCCCUCAAUUUCUUCACUGCAAAAAUAUCAAUACCUUGGAUUAAUUACUUAGAAGACUAUUCUGGCCCCUGAAAUAGCAGGCAGUUGAUUAACACUUUCCAUUUUUUUUUCUAAGAUUAAGUAUUAGACUGAUCAUCAAUAUAGAGUUGGGCAAGUAUUCAAAUCAUGUGCAUUUUAAAAGGUUUUAAUAUUAAAAGGUUUGUGUGCAUUAUAUAUAGCUAUGCCACAUAUAUAGCAUCCGUAAAGCUUGCAUUUGUCCAUUUAGUAGACACCAAUGAAAACAGCUUAUUGGUAAAUGGAAUAUCCUCAUGGCUCAAGCAUCAGUGAUCUUUAUCAUCUGCUAAGGAUUCUCCUGUAGUCAUGAAUAAGACAAUUCUUUUACCAUAGGAGUGGUGGUGGUGGUUAUGAUUGUAGUGGUAGCCAUAAUAUCAGUAGUGGUUAACACCUAUUAUACUAAACCAAAACCGGUUGCCAUCGAGUCAAUUCCGACUCGUAGCGACCCUAUAGGACAGAGUAGAACUGCCCCAUAGAGUUUCCAAGGAGCACCUGGUGGAUUUGAACUGCUGACUUUUAGUUAGCAGCCGUAGCUCUUAACCACUACACCACCAGGGUUUCCAUUAUAAAAAAAAAAAAAUAGGUAACAUUUAUUCAGUGUUUCCUAUAACAUAACAUACUUGAUGCCACGUGCUCUUCAAGAUACCUUACACGUAUUAACUUAUUAUAUCCUCACAGAAACGAAUCAAGUGGUUACUAUUAUUAUUGCAAUAAUUAUUUUUUAAUAAAUGAAUGGAUGGCCAUCCUAUCUUACACAUGAGGAAAUUAAGACACAGAGAGGUAUAUAAGGUGUGUGUGUAUAUAUAUAUAGUAUAUGUGUUAAGGAAACCCUGAUGGCAUAGUGGUUAAGUGCUACGGCUACUAACCAAAGGGUUGGCAUAUAUAAGAUAAAAAAAAAAAAAAAAAUAGCUAGUAAUUGGCAGAAGCAGAAUUUGAACACAGCCUAAUCCCAAAACACAUACACUUAAAUAUAGAUGCCAUUCUCCUAUCAUGUUUUUGGGUUAGGGAAAUGACAUUUCAUUCAGCACUGGAGCUUGUCCCUUGCUCUAGCUGGGUCUGGUUGGUUUUCUUGGCCAGUAUCAAGCAAACCGGUUUUAAGCCUAUAGAAACUGUCUGUUCAUAGUCUCCACUAAAUUACCCUAGAAUUCUGUUUUGUCCCUAGGUCGGAUUCUUCAUACACCCAUUACCUUGAAAAGUAGGCAUAAAGAGAAUUGUGUAUGUGCUUGUGACAAUUUUCUCUCCUCAGUGCUUUUUGGCCUUAUUCCAAAAGUCUCUGUUGAAUAAUGACCUACAUUACUUCAGUUUGCUACUUUGAGCCAGUCCUGAUUUCUCUUUGUACCUAACACAGACCCCUCAAAAAGGUUAUGUAAGUGGCCAUAAGAGCAAUAAGACAGAAAAUACCAAAAGAAUAAUAAUUCAUUUAGUAACUAUGUUAACACUAAGCUAAUGGCGACUGUUUGUAUUUUGCUUUAUUUGUAUUUGAAUUAAAAAAUUACUUCACUCUUACAAGCUAGGACCAGAGGAGUUUUAUCUAGUGACUUUCCAGUUCUCACUUGACCUGUCUUGUGCAUAUGGAUGCAACUGCUGGCCACAGGGAAGAGCGUGGAGCAUUCUUCCGCCGUCACUUCCUAGGCUCUUUAGCCCCCAUUGAGCUGCGAACAGUAGCUGAGGACAAAAGCUGUAUACACUGUACAAACAGAGCACCAAAGCAGCAGUACACUGAGUCAUUCUUCGCUCUGUGUGAGAACUGAGGGGGACUCUAUUCAUUUCCUUUGUGCUGGUGUCUGUCAACAGCGCUGUUUGAGGCAAGGCCUAUUGUGCUGGCCAGUGUUUCUUAUUGACCUAAGUCUGUGCCUGCUAUGUUCCCAGGGUCGAAGUUGCGAGUGAGAGAAUGUUUGAAAAGGGGUAAUCAUAGGCUAAAUGCAUUUUGCUGCAUUGUCAUCUGACCUAUUAAAUCUAAACUGUGGUCUCCGUUAAUGCAAACAGGUAAUUAUAUAGUCACAGCUGCAGCUAUUGACAUCUGGUUGCCGCCCCCGUGGAAAAAAAAAGUACGUGCUUUUUGUCCUGUAGCUAGGUUCUUAUAUGUUAGACUUUAAUGAUUUUUAACUGAAAAUAUAUAAAGGAUUAGGAAGACUAAAAGAUCAACAAGGUAGAUACUUUAUCCAAGUAAAAAUAGCCUCUGCUGCAGCUGUUUGCCUGUUUUUCUUUGAUAAUGCAGUGCUUUCCUGUGAGACUGGACAAUCUUGGUUCAGUUUUAGUUUUUCAGUUGUGUAAGGUAAAGGUGAUUUGUAUGUUUUCAUCCUAUGCAAGCAUAUCAUCAUACUAAGUCACUUUGAAAGGUCUGCCUCUCAUAACUUAAUUUUGCUUGCUUGCCUGCUGGUUUUAUUCACUGAGUUCAAUGCUGUACUCUGCCCGUGUAGGAUGGUGUUUGCAAGAGGCCUAUGCUGCCCCAGGCAUGGCAAGUACAGCGGAGUGAAUCGAGGGUUAUGGCUAUCAAUUAUGUUAAUAAGUUCUGUCUCUUCUAGUUUCUUUCAGUAUUCUAAUAAAAGUUAUGAACAAAUCAGUCCUAGCACAUCACAUCCUUGAUGUCCCUUGGAGAAGAACCACUUGUAUAUUAGUAAAAUAAAAAAUGUUUAGAAAUGUGUUUCCAUCAACCAUGAAAACCCAUUUAUAAUUAGAAUACCCUACACUUAAAUAAUUUUCACUCAACUCCAUAAUUCAUUACUUAACAAAUUUAUCGAAAACCUGGUAUGUGCUAGACUCUGCUAGGUAUCGGGGUACAAAUUAAAAAUAAAAAUCUAUUGUCUUGGUUUUUCACAUCAUCAGUAGUGGCAUUAUGAAAUACACUAGGAGUGGAAACUGAUGCAGGAGACGGAGGAAAACAGCCUUAAGACAGUGUAACUCCAAGGCUUUUCUAAUGUUUUCUAAAUGUUUUGAUGCAAUGUCUCUCUAAGUGGGUAGUUACAAAUCCCAUUGGGACCUUGAUAAGAAAGCACUCAAGAUGCCCAAGAGCCUGAAUUGUACUUCCUUUGAAUCAGUCAUGUAAGCAGGGCUCAGCUCAUACCUUCUUGCCUGGUGCUGCUCAAAGUGAGCCCGAGCUAGUUGCACUGGGCUCGUUACAGCUGAGGGGGUUAUUCAAAGAUGACAGCUCAUCAUCACCUCCUACACUCUCUAGGUACUAGAGAUACAAUGAUGAAUACUAUUAAAACGCUUACCCUCAGGGAACUCAGGUUAAACACCUUUCUUUUUUACCAUCUUUUCCACAAACACAACCUUGGAAAAAAUGGCAUAGUGAUUGAAUGUUAUACAAGAAAAAAAUCAAAUACUAAACAUGUAAAUAUGUUCUGCCUUUGAAAAUGCAGGCCACAAAUGAAGAAAGCACUCCUCUGUUUAAAUAAUGGUAUUUCAUGUUACUGUUUCUAAGUAAAAUUAGCAUCUUCUACGUGAAACAAGCAUGUGGAAUUAAAUUAAUAUUUACUAAAAUACAUGCCAGCCACUAUCUUAGCCCUUAGAAAUGAAAACUAUUUUUGAAUUCUCGUAAUGAAAUCUUUUUAAAAGUAGUAUUUUAUUUUAGUUUUUUAGUACUGCUGUUUCAUAUACAGAAUUAUUUGACAGAUACGGAGUAUAAUCACUUCAAAAGGGUUUUCAUAUUUGUAAGAAAUAACAAACCAUAUGCCAUCUUGCAGAAGCCCUGAUUUGGAAAGAACGUGGCUCUUGGCCAGCAAUUAAUUAAGCCACUCUUUUGUUUUGGCCAUAUUGUGAUGUUGUAUAGGUGUGAAAUUUUCUCUCUUCACCAGAUAGGGAUAUUCCUGAGCAGCCACCAUAGUUAGUAAGGAAAGCAGUCAACUUUGGUGUUAUUUUCCUACAAAGUAAUAGAAAUUGUAAGGAUAAGUAAUUGAAGCACAAGAAGAAUGGGGAGAAACUGUUGGGGUAAAAGAGGAGUAUGACUUUGGCACUGGGUAGUUGAAAAGUGAGUGUUGUCACUUUGGUCCAUUUAAAAUUGCAUCACUGUUACCAGGAUGAAACUGAACAUCUUCAGCAGGUGCCUGUUGCUAGAGGAUAUAGAAUGAGAGAAGAGUACGUAAUCGUGUGUUGUGUAUAGUGGGUAUCCUGUUGUCAAAAAGAGAAAAUAAUUAGCCUGACUAAUUGAUUUUCUGCAUUUUUCCUGAGUCCAAUUUAGAUAUUCUUAAAUUAUUUUCAAAUAGAAUCUUUUCUAAUAUCCAGAUUAUAUGGGCUCAAUUAGGGUACUCAGUAUUUUUCUCAUCGUGUGACUUCGCUUGCUUCUCAUUAAAGCAGAAUUAACUUCUUAUUCAGGAUAUAGUAGUUAAACAGAGUUAUGGACCUUGGGUCCAAGAUUGCAAUCAGGGAAAACUGGCCUCAACAGAGAGCUUCCUUUCACCCAUUUUGACCAUUGUCACUGCUUCCCCUCAUUCAUCCUCAUUGCUGUUGAUCUUAGCAAGAGACUCAGAGACACCAUUGCUUUGCUUACAAAUAAGGUUUUAUGUUUGAUCUUUUUUUGAAAAAGAUAAAGCACCUACAUCUUAAAAGGGUGCUUUCUUUUUUUUAAUGAACGGCAGUGGCUCUGGGAAUUUCAAAAGCUCUAUAAUGUUUUGUUCGGAUGGUAAAAAGGAUUCACAACAGACAUUGUGAUCCAAAUACCUAUUUUCUUUUUCUUAAUGGAAAAGUAUUUCCCUGAAAUUAAACAAGAUUAAAAUGUAGAAUUUUUCUGCAGUUUUUUCCCAAACUCUUAACUAAUAAAACCAAGCUGCACGUAUAUUUUGAAGUGGUUUCAUGAAUCUCAACCGUAGCAAUUAAGCUUCUCUUUAUUUAUUUAUAGUAAGCAGAGGGUUUACUGGUGGUUGGUAAGUACUGCACUGUGGGUACCUGCACACACCCACCCACGCUCACCUUGCUGUACAUUGGUAUAGUCUAGUCUGUACCUGGUUUUGAGAAAAGUGAAAGCGUGUCAGAGGGCUUCACAAAUAAUUGUAGGUGGGUGCAGAGAGGGUUAACCAUCGGCAUUCUUGGUGGCUUAAUUAGGCUCUGGCAAAGAGCCAGGCGCAGUAGAAAAUGGGUCUGCGUGGGACAACCACAGAAACCAGUGGAUUUCAGCGUCUUGGCAAGGUCUGGAAUGUUCAGCAGCAGUCUGCGCUUAUGCCUACCUGUUAUGGGAAAGUGAGAGGCUGUCCAGACGAGAGACAAAGCAGCCAGGCAUUUUCCCAUCCAGCUUUACUAUUAUAUUUGUCUGUUUAAAAAGGAGGCAAGAGUACCUGUCACUGGGCACGACUUCUGUAGUGAUUCACUGCACGGUGCUUGCUCCUCUCAAGGAGGGGUGAGUUUAAACUGAGUAGAGCCCUGUCAUCUCUUUGAGCCUGCUCUGUGUGGAGAACAGUAUUCCCUGUGAAACAGGAUGUUGUCAAGAUUACUUGAGGUUGGGGAAUUAUCCAUGUGGAAAGUUGCAGUGUUAAGAAAUUUCAAUCAGUCAAUCUUUAGCCUUCCUUUUCAAGAAAGGAAAGUGCUGUAGUUUUUAUUGUUAUUGAUAAAUUAAUAAUUGGAUCAUAAGAUUAUAAGUCUCUGAAAUAAAGCAUUGUUAUAAAUGUUUUUUUUUUUUUUAAUGUGCACUAGUUUUGUGAAGUCUACGAGUCAAAAAGAUCAAGGGUUGUAAUUCAAUAUUGUCUACUUGUCUUGUUGGCUAAAGUAAAUAGAUUUAGCUAUUCAGAUGGUUUGUAAUUCAGGUUUUUAGGACUAUAGCUUCUAUGGUAAUAUUUCUUUCAUACCAAAAACCCAUAUUGUAAAUGUGCUUGGAUUCCUAUCUGCUGAAAAGCUUUUCUGGGUAAAACUACUUCAGAUGGUAGAAAUUCCUUGCAUUAGAAACCUCCUUCAGUCUCUUUUAUUUAAAAUUGUACCGUUUCAUCUUUCAGAAUGAAAUCCAGCUUUAAAAAAGUAUGUAUAUAACAAAAAAUAUAUAACUUAAAAUCUUGUGGUAUUUUUAAAAGCUUCAUUGCAGUCUUUUUGUUUAGAAAAACCGAUUUUUGCGUAACUAUUAAAAAUAAUACUUCCCUGGGAAUAACAGUUCUUUUUUUACUGUUCAUGUUUUAUAGUUUCCGUAUGACAAAGGUCUUCGGCACUCAGCCUCUGCCCCAUUGUUUGAAGCAUUACUCAUUAUAGUGUGAUUUCACUACCAUAAGAAAAUUAAUAAUAGUAUUUUGGAGCUUAUUUACUGUUACAGUUAAAGUCAAGUUAACAAUAGAAUGUUAUUAGUUCAACAAUCUUUGCUGCAGUUAAAAAUAACAAAAUUCCUGUGUGCUCUAUUCAUUACAAGCCAACGUAUGAAAAGAGGGAAGAAUUUCAUUUUAAAAUCUGUUAUGUAGCUCCAGCUACUAAAGUAUAUAUCAUUAUUGUCUAUAAAGUAUAUAUUGCUCAUUUAUAUUGUCACUCAUUCUUAGACAAUCUUAUAUUAUUCCUUUGACUCAUAUAGUCCUUGGAACUGUGUCAUUUGUCCUAAAGAGUUUUCUGUAAUCUAGAUUUUACUGAUGCUAUUCUCUCCCUCUCACUUUUUUAACCCUCCAUAGAAUGUCUGUAUGACAUUCCUGUGAAUUCAUAGACAUACAGACCAUUACCCACUGCUGUCGAGUCAAUUCCAACUCAUGGCAACCCUAUAGGACAGAGUAGAACUUGCCCCAUGUGGUUACCGUGGAGCAGCUGGUAGAUUUGAACUGCUGACCUUUUGGUUAGGAGCUGAGCUCUUAACCACUGUGAAGUUUCUUUACGCUGAUAUUCUAAUUACAUAAUUCCUUCUACAUUUAUUAGCUGAAAUACUUAUAUCAACUUUCCCUAAUAAACUUUUGGCUUUCCUGGGUGCAUUCUGACAGCAAAGGCAGGGCAAAUGAUUAUUUGCUUAUAUUUACCAGUUUUCAAAAGUAAAGUUGGUCUUACAGUAUUUUCUAAUGAUGACUGAAUUUUUUAAGUGUCACUAUGAAUUAAUUGAUUCUUUGAUUUUCUUCACUCUUCUUUGCUGGGAGUGGGAAGAGAACAGUAGUUAUAUCUUAGAUGACUGCUCACAAGCCCAGACACUACUUACCAAAGUAGGUUGCAGAACAUUGUCUUUAUGAACUAUAUUGUGCCAGUUAACAUAGAUGUCCCCCGAGUCUAUGGUCCUUUGCUUUUGAGCCUAGGAACUUUGUCCAGUGAGGUGCUUGGUUAUAGUUAAGAAGUUUCCAUGACUAUGCCCUUCUGUGCUCUAUUGUCUACAUUAAUAUACAUGUAGCAUCUACAAUUAUAUAUGUAGAAAUAUCCACAACCCAACCUAUAUCUGCAGGUGGGUGUGCUCCCUUAUACCCUCCCACACCUCUUUAACAUACCUAUCUAUCUAUGUGUCCUAUUGUAAAUUACUGUUUGUUAAUACUAUUGUUGCAGGAUUGUUACAGUAAUUACCAUAAUUGACCUUUAUUCUUGCAUUCAAUUCAGUAUCUUCCCUUGCCUUGGUCAUGUUGUGCUGACUUCCCCCAUAUUGUAUAUUGCCUUUCCCAUCACCAGUAUUAACAUGUGUCUUUUAUCUAGUUAGUAGCUUUCUCUCCCUCCCCUUCCCAUCUCUGACAACCAUCAAGUAAUUUUUUUUUUUCUGGUAUAUAAACCUUUUCUUGUUUUUUUAUAAUAGUAGUCUCAUACUAUAUUUGUCUUUUGUGGUUAACUUAUUUCAUUCAACAUAAAUGUCCUCCAAAUUCAUCCAUGUCGUGAGGUGUUUCUCAGAUUUGUCGUUACUCUUUAUCAUUGCAUAGUAUCGCAUUGUGUGUAUGUGCCAUAAUUUGUUUAUCCAUUUAUCCAUUGAUAGGGACUUAGGAUGUUUUCAUCUUUUUGCUAUUGUGAAUAAUGCUGCAGUGAACACAGGUGUCAUGGCUUUUAUUUCUUUAUGGUAUAUACUUAGGAGUGGGAUUGCUAGAUCCUAUGGUAUUUCUAUUUCUAGCUUUUUAAGGAAGCGUCAUAUGGUUUUCCAUAGUGUUUGUACCAUUUAACAUUCCCAUCAGCAGUGUGUAAGAGUUCCAGUCUCCCCACAACCUCACCAACAUUGAUUGUUUUCUGUUUUUUUGAUUAGUGCCAUUAUUGUCAGGGUAAGAUAAUAUCUCAUUGUAAUUUUGAUUUGCCUCUCUCUAAUGGCUACCAAUUGUAAGCAUUUCUUCAUGUGUUCAUUAGCUGCCUGAAUGCCUUCUUUGGUGAAGUGUCUGUUCAUAUCCUUUGCCCAUUUUUUAAUUAGAUUGUUUGUCUUUUUGAUGUGAGGUGUUGAUGAUUCUGAAAAUUUUAGAGAUUAAACCCUUGUUGCAUAUGUCAUAGCCAAAAAUAUUUUCCCAGUUUGUAGGUUCUCUUUUUACUCUUUUGGAAAAGUCUUUUGAUGAGCAUAAGUGUUUAAUUUUUAGGAGGUCCCAUUUAUCUAGUUCAUCUUCUGCCAUUUGUUCAUUUUUGGUUAUGUUUGUUAUUUUGUGCAUGUCACAUAUUAGUCUAACAUUGUCUCGAUUUUAUCGUCCAUGAUCUUUAUAGUUUUAGGUAUUCUAUCCAUUUUGAGUUAUUUUUUGUGUAUGUUUUGAGGUAUGGGUUCUGUUGCAUUUUUCUACAGAUAGACAUCCAGUUUUGCCACCACCAUUUGUUAAAGAGACUCUCUGUCCCCCAUUUAAUGGAUUUGGGCCCUUUGUCGAAGAUGAGCUGUCCAUAGGUGGAUGGGUUCUAGAUUCUAUUCUACUGGUCUAUGUGUCUGUCGUUGUACCAGCACCAGGCUGUUUUGACUACUGUGGCUACAUAGGAGGUUCUGAAAUAAGGCAGUGAGACCUCGUACUUUGUUCUUCGUCUUCAAUAACGCUUUACUUCCCCAGGGCCUCUUUCCUUUCCACAUAAAGUUGUUGAUUAGUUUUUCCAUCUCAUUGAAGAAUGCUCUUGGAAUUUGGAUCACAAUUGCAUUAUAUCUAUAGACCCGCUUUGGGUAGUAUUGACAUUUUCACAAUGUUAAGUCUUCCUAUCCAUGAGCUUGGUAUGUUUUCCAUUUGUGUAGGUCUCUCUUGGUUUCUUGCAGUAGUGUUUUGUAGUUUUCUUUGUAUAGGUCUUUUAUGUCCCUGUUAGAUUUAUUCCUGUGUAUUUUGUCUUUUUAGGGGCUAUUGUAAAUGAUAGUGUUUUCCUGACUUCCUUUUGAAGUUCUCCUUGUUGGUGUAGAGCAAUCCAAUUGAUUUUUGUAUGUUGAUCUUGUAUACUGCUACUUUGUUGAAUCCUUGUAUUAGUUCCCAUGGCUUUGUUGUGGAAUCUUUGAGGUUCUCUAUGUAUAGGGUCAUAACAUCUAUGAAUAGGGAUAGUUUAACUUCUUCCUUACCAAUUCAAAUGCCUUUAUUUCCUUUUCUUGCCUUAUUGCUCUAGCUAGGACUUCCAGUACAAUGUUGAAAAAGAGUGGUGAUAAAGGGCAUCCUUGUCUGGUUCCUGUUCUCAAGGGGAAUGUUUUUGUUCUCUCUCCAUUGAGAAUAUUGUUGGCUGUUGGUUUUGUAUAAACGCCCUUGAUUAUGUUGAGAAAUUUCCCUUCUAUUCCUAUUUUGCUGAGAGUUUCUAUCAGGAAUGAGCCUUAAAAAAAAAAUGCCUUUUCUUGAGAUGAUCAUGUUUUCUUUUUGUUUUAUUUAUCUGGUGGAUUAUGUUAUUGAUUUUCUUGUCUUGAACCAUCCUUGUGUACCUGGUAUAAAUGUUUUUGAUAUGGUGUUUAAUUCUAUUGGCUAGAAUUUUGUUGAGAAUUUUUUGUCUGUAUUCAUGAUGGAUAUUGGUCUGUAAUUUUCUUUUUGUAUCUUUGCUUGGCUUUGGUAUCAGGGUUUUGCUGGCUUCAUAGAAUGAAUUUGGGAGUAUUCCUUCCCAAUAGUUUGAAUAGAAUUGGUGUGAACUCUUCUCUGAAUGUUUGGUAGAAUUCUCCAUUGAAGCCAUCUGAGCCAGGGCUUUAUUUGUUGGAAACUUACACCAUUUUUUGCUUUUAAGCUAUGUAUUUAAAGUAUAUUUCAUGUAGACAGCAUAUAGUUGGCUUUAGCUUUUUUUUUUUUUUUCAGUUUGUUAGUCUCUGCCUUUUACAUGUACCAUGGUACGUUUUACACUAAGCAUGUAAAAUAUUAUAAUAAGUACGGUUGAGUUUAAGUCUACCAUCUUGCUAUUUGUUUUUUAUUUGUCCCAUCUGUUUGUUUCUAUUUCCUGCCUUUAUCUGGAUUGAAUAUUUUUUAGAACUUCAUUUUAUGUUUUCUUCUGGCCUCUUAACUAUACCACAGCUGCUUCCUUCUUCUUCCUCUUCCUCCUCUUCUUUUUCUUAUCAUUACUAUUAUUUUGCUAUGGUUGCUUUAGGAUUUACAGUGUUUAUCUUUAACUUAUCAUUGUUGUGGUGGUUUUAAAACAUGUUCCCAAGUUCUUUGACACUCUUUCCACCAAGGAGUGGAGUCUAUCCUUUUCCCCUUGAAUAUAGGAUGGCUUUUUGGUAACUUGUGUCUGAUGAACAGAAUGUGGCAGAAGUGAUAUUUUGUGACUUCUAAAUCUAGGCUAUAUAAAACAGUACAGCUUCCACCUAACUGUCUAUCAGGAUGUAUACUCUUGGAACCCAGCCACAGCUGUAAGGAAGCCCAAGACACGUGGAGAGGCCACAUGUGUUGUUCUAGCUGACAUCCAGCAUCGACUGCCAGCGUCAGCUACCAGACGUGUGAGUGAGGAAGCCUUUGAGAUGACUCCUGCCCUAGCCAUUGAAUAACUGCAGUUGCAUAAGAAACCCUGAGUUAAAACUGCGUAGCUGAGCCCAUUCAACCUUAAAACUGUGAGACAUUAAAAAAAAAAAAAAAAGAUUGUUUAAGUCACUAGGUUUCAGAGUGGUUUCUUGUAUAGCAAUAGGUAGCUGACACAGAUUUUGGUACCUGGGAAAUGGAACGCUGCCAUAAAAACCACCUGAAAAAUUCGCAGUGGCUUUGGGACCAGGCAUUGGAUAGAAGCUGGAAGGACCUUGAGCUGUUAACAUAAGCCUGAAUUCAGGGCAGUAAGGAAACAGUGAGGGCUUAAGUGUUACUGGAAGCUGAAGGAAAGGAGAUUCUUGUUAUAGUGGUGGAAAAUGUGGUGGUAUCAUCAUCUGCAGUAGUAAGGAAAAUAGAAAAUGUACUUAAUGAACUAGAUGAUCUGGCUAAGGAGAUUUCCAGACAGAGUAUUAAAGGUACCACUUGGCUCCUUCUACCUGCUUAUAAUAAAAUUGGAGAAGAGAGCUAAAAUAUGAAAUGUUAAAUAUAAAUCAGCCAGGACUUGUUAGGUUCAAAAAUAAUUUUUUUUCUCAUUCCCAGUCUCUUCAGAUGGCAAGUAAUUUUCAAAUUAAGAAAUAGCUUAUGGGCUAAGAUCAAAUUCAAGAGUGUUGUCAGGAAAACAUGAUCUAAAGAUGAAGUUGAGGAUGUCACUGUAAAACCCAUUGUCAAGACUUCAAAAUGAUUUAAGGUGGUGCCCCAUAAAAAACAAAAACAAAAAGGCCCUCCAAAAAUCUAAAUUGUGUGCCUCACAUAUAUUCUUUCAUGAAAUAGAGAUUAAAUAGUAUUUCUAAUAAUCUUAAAGGCAUUAUUCCACACAGUUUUAAAGGUAGGGAAAGGAGAGAAGGGUUUAUCUCAACAAGAUUUGUGGGUUUGGUUUUGUCUAAUUGAGUGAACCCCAGUAUGAACCAUAGAAAACUCACAAUGUGUUUAAGAGAAUUAUAGGAGAGGACACAUUGCCAGCUUGCAUUGAAAGGAACAGAGACAGUAAAAAAUAAAAAUGGGUAUUUGGAUCCCUGGAUUUUUAUGAGGAGGUAGCAGGCUGAGAAAACUACUCAAUUACAGAUGCAGAUUACAUUUUAUGGAAAAGGAAAGGUAGUUCAGAGAAUGGAACCAACAGCCCAGAGGGCAGAGGUAAGAGCCCUGGAGGAUCAUUCCCAAAUAGUAGCACUAA